rnacentral:lncRNA from 1 species
UCCUGUCUUCUCCAAAAUGUUGCAGAAGCUGCACCUCCACACAAUGUGAUAUUAUCAAUUUAUCACUCUGCUUUCGUGAAGGGAGUUCAAACCAACUUCAAGAUUGAACCAUCUUUUGGAGUUGAAGCCUCGCAGCUUUAUCCUGAUGUCAAGUACACUACAGUUGAUGAGUACCUCAAUCAGUUUGUGUAACCCUUCUCUGUUUCCAGCUGCAGCUUGCAGGAUCUUGGACUGUUGGUAAAUAAAUAAUUGGCUUGUUGCCAUCUUUGGUUUUAUAUGUAAAAAUUAUGGUUGUUGGCCUUACUUUCUUCUGGUUGUCCAUGGAAUUUGUUAGACCAUAUUUUGUUUGCUAUGUCAGUGAUCAAAUGAAGUAGGCCAUGUACUUGAUUUGAGAGUAGUAGUUAUAAAGCCAUCAUGAUCAGGUGGGUGCGUGGGUUGGGCUUCUAUUAGGGUGCGUGUGUUGGGCUUCAGGGGCUUGUGAUAUGGGUUCGACAGCCCCUAACGGGCAGUCAUUAUAAAAAUAAUUAUAGAGUUACAAAUCUAUGUAAAAAGCAAAAAUUAAAAGUAAUUUAUCAAUAAAAAUAAUUAAAAUUAAUAAAAAGUAGGUAUGAUAUUUCAGAAAUCAAAUUAAAGAUAGCAUUCUAAAGAGUCGGAUAAUCCUCCAACUAAACUAAAGAUCUAGUACAUUUGAGAGCAAAUUUAAUUAAAGAAAAGGAUAAGGAAAAACAAUAGAAUAAUAAUAUUAAAAAUUGCAAAUCUUGGUCUUUUUUUUUUACGAUGAUGUUGAAUUCUUAUAAAUUUAAUCUUAUCUAUAGAAUUAUUUAGUUACUGUAUGUCAAAAUUUCCUAUAAAGAUGAAGAAAAAUUAUAUUAGGAGAAGAUCCAAAUCCGUUUAACUGAUGCAUCAUCGACAACAUGAGUACAACAUUUUUGAAUAAACAAAAGAAACUCGUUUUAUGUGCGAACCAGUUCCAAAAUAAAGAGCAGACUAUUGGAAGGAGACAAAUACUACAAGAAGAACAAAACAUUCUACAGUUCCUACAUGAGCCCGCAACAAUUCAUUAUUAACUCGACAUUCAUUACACUUUUUCUUUAAUUUGACAAAGAAACCAAAAAUAAGAUAAAAUUGACUAAGAAAUAAAAAAAUGACCGAAAUCUUUUUGAAGUUUUGCCAGUUCAGCCAUGCACGCUUAUCUUUAUUCACUUGUUUCCUUUCUUUCCUUUCUUUGCUGAAGCCUUCACAGAUCCUUUACCUUUCUGAGCCUUGCCAAUUUUCCCCUUCUUCAAACCACCUGGCCUUGCUGGAUCCACGUGUCCUUGCAUCCUUUUUCAUUCGUGGAUCAACAAGAAUCUUCCCCUUUCCAGCUCUCUCUUGAACUCCUUUCUUUGGGACCAGUAUUCUUUUGUCGGCCUUUUGGGUAUAGUUGUCUUGUAUAAUUGUUCAAUUUGAUUCCUCUUCGAACGAUCAGAGAUGUCCGCUUAGUCUGAUAUGACAUUUGCCUUCUUGCGAACCUUCUCAAGAUUUCGCAUGGCAACCCGUAUCUUUCGAGCUUUGGUCUUAGCCACCUUCUUGGCAGUAUGGGUGGGCGAUUCGGUUUUGGGAUAAACUUUUGGUUUCGUAUCGGUUUAGAUUAAAAAAUAAUAUAAAAAAAUAUUUAGAUUUUAAGAGAAAAAAUCCGAACCGAGACUCACCUAUCGAUUUCGGCUCGGUUUCAGUUCAGUUUUGAUUCUCCUAAUAGUUUUAUUUUGCCUUAUUGACUUCCGGUCAAUGACACUUUUGAAAAAUUUACCAAAAAAAAAAAAAAUGGCCAUAACAAAAUUUCUAUAUGCAAAUAUUUCCUAAACAUUAGGCUAUACUAAAUUUUUUUAAAAGGUAGGGACCCAAACGAUAUUAUCCCUCUACUUCAUCUUCAACCUUCGUCAUUAGGGAUGGCAAAAUCCGAGUUCGGGUCCGGGUUUAGCCAUUUGGGAUCCGGACCCGGAUGAAUAUUUUUUGUACCAGACCCGAAAAUAAACCCGCAUUUUUCCACUUCGAGUCCGGUACGGGUUCAACCCGAAAAAAUUCGGGUUCCCUGACUGCGGGUUUCCAACUCGGAUUAAUGAAUCCAAUUGAAAAAAAAAAACUAAAUUCAACAAAAAAAAUCAAAUAGAAAUACAUAUCCAGGAUUUCAGCAAAUCAAAGAAAAAUUAUUUCAUCUGGAAACUAAUUAACAAAAACAACAAUUUUGUUUGGCUGCCCAGAAUCAGCAACCCAAUGUGGCGGCUCGUUCAAAACAUUAGUGUUUUCAACAGAUUUUGGGGUAGGAAAAGCCAAACCUAUCUAGAACAAUGAAUUUGUAUUUUUGGGGGAGAUGAGGUACCUCACUGGUUUGUUGUGUGCGGUGCAGUGUAUCUUAAAUUUGGGGGAUGUGAGAAGGGGAGAGGGAGUGGUAAUAAUGGUGAAAGGUCAAAACCAAUAGAGAUGUCCUUCAAAAUGAGCUUCACACCUGUAAAACAGUGAAAUAAAGGUUAGAGGUGAAGCUGGGGUAUCCCGGUGUUCACACUCCGACGCUCAAGUUAGCAAACUCAAGCUUUUAUGACAAAGAGAACUGGCUAGCCCUCUGUAAAUUAGGGUUUAAGGUUCAAGGAAACCUAUUUUUUGGAAUGUGAGUGUUAAUGGUGAGUGAGAGACCUCUUGGAGAAUGAAACCUAUGCGCCUUUAUAUAUGGAGUACCUCAGCUGCCACGUGACGUACCCUUUUUGGCUAACGUCAUUUUUCAUUUUUAUGAUUUUUGGGUCGUUAUGUUCAUGUUCGCGGGGUAUCUCAUCUUUUAGAAACGUGGCGCGCGCUGGAGAGUGGUCCAGGGUACCUCUGCAGUAGCUGUCGGGUAGGCGGCUGAGGACCACUGUCCUUGGGACAGUGUCUUUCACUUUUGGUAAAGGUGACAGGCGGUUGUCCUCCCUUUUAACACGACAUUUUUUAUUCCUAAUUAUGACAAAAUCGAAUAAUAUCUUUUAAGAGAUGGAGACGUUUCUCAUGGUGGAUAUUUUCGGAAGAUUCUCUUGCAUCUGAUCAGCCGGGUUCCUCCAGUUACGCAGGGUACCUCAAUUUAUGUGGGGUACCUCUAAUUUUAUGGGGUACCACUAUUUGCGCAGGGUACCUUGAAUCAUGCCAAGUACCUUAGAUUAUGCGGAGUACCUCUAAUUGUGCGGGAUACCUCUAUUGCGCUAGGUACCUUGAAUCAUGCCGGGUACCUCAGAUUGUGCGGGGUAUCUCUAUUUGCGCAGGGUACCUUGAAUCAUGCUGGGCACCUCAGAUUGUGUGGGGUACCUUGAGUCAUGCGAGGUACCUCUAAUCAGGCCAGGUACCCUCUAAUUGUGCUGAGUACCUAUAAUCAUGCAGGGUACCUCUAAUCAAGCCGGGUACCUUUAAUCAUGCGGGGUACCUCUAAUCAGGCCGGGUACCUUAGAUUGUGCGGGGUACCUCUAUUUGCGCAGGGUACCUUGAAUCAUGCAGGGUAUCUCAGAUUGUGCGGGGUACCUCAAAUUGUGUGGGGUACUUCUAAUCGUGCGGGGUACCUCUAAUCAUGUCGGGUACCUCGGAUUGCACUGAAGUUAUUCCAUUCGUUGACACGUGGCGUUAUGCUAUCUUUCUUAUUUUUCCCCCAAACAACAUCCCUCUAGUUUCUUUUGGCAAGAAGUUUUGGAGGCAAAAGAAACUUACAUAAAAAGUAGAAGCGACACGUGGCGAUAUGAUGUUUAGCUCGAUGGGUAACUAAAUAGAGGGCGCCUUUAGGGGUACCCUGAGAACCCAAAAAGGGAAGAUGGGCUCCAUUUCCUCGGAAAUGGCUACCACUUUGGACAUGUUGGAAAGGAUAGAGCUAAUUGAUCAAAAAAAUUUCAUCUAUUUCUAGGGAAGAACACCAAAUACGGGUAGAGGGUAUCGUUAGGGUACCCCACCAUUACCCAUAGUUUGUUUUCUAGUGACUGCCAUGUAUAAAUCGCUCUGGUGAAGGCUUCAAUACAUUCUUUGGGCAUUUAAGAAGCAAUUAUUUGAUUAUCUCGGGAUCCACCUUAUUUAAGGGUAUAUUUCCUUCAUGUACUUUGAAGACAAAAAUAAAAUCACAGGGCUUUCUUCCUUGUAACUUCAGAGGUACCCUCGACAGAAGAAUAUAGUCAACAAUGCUUUUAAGCGUAUCAUGAUCGAGGAAUGGAGUGCUGAUCUGGGGUUGGUGGUGCCAAGAGUGGAGAAGAUGGUAGAUGAACCGGCUAUCUUGAAGGCGAUUAACGAUAGCGGGGCUCUCAACACAUCUUGGUCUGAAGGGGUAAUGCAAAUAAGUUUACGUUGAUUGGAUAUUCAGAAGAAGUAAUACGCCAUUAAAAGCAACAAGUUUUCCAAAAAGCCAACAAAGACAGACACCACCACACCACCCCGCGCUGGAUGAAAAACGAUGAAAGCAUGAUAAGUGACAUCGAGUAAGCCACGUUCUCUCUCUCUCUCUCACUCGCACUCGCACUCGCACUCGCACUCGCACUCGCACACACUGUUACUAAAAUAACCAAAAAUAAGAUUCCCAUCAAAAUAUUUUCAAGUAUCGUUCUUGAAAGUGGCGGCGGCUGAUGAUGAUGAACACAGCCGCGAUUGCGAUUGGCGAAGGCGGCGUUCAGCCCGUAUCACAGCUAGUUAUCGGUCGUGGCAGAAAAGAUAAUGAAACGACGGCUGAUGAUGAUAAUGAUGAUGUUGAACAGCCGCAAAUAUGGGUAAGUGAUGCGACGAUGAUUUGAUGAAGAUGAAGAUGAGCUGAAGAUGGAAUAAGAGUGGAAAUGUUUGUGCGGCUGGGAAAGUGUAAUGAGCUGCUAGGGCACCAUUUGGGUUUUUUUGCUUUCCUAUUUAUAUUAAAAAUAAUUUUUAAAAAUUAAUAUAUAUCCGGGUUCGGGUUUUGGAUGUACGGGUUUACCUAGACCCGGACACAUGCGGAUUCAGCAGCACCGACCACCCACAGACUUGGAUUCGAUUGCAAAGUUGGGACUUAGGAUUUGGGUUUGUGGCUGCUGAAACAGAAAGUGAGAGAGUAGAAAGUAGAGACUAAGAGUGGUGCAAACAUGUGUAAUUUUGUGUGUGUGUCUAUAUAUAUAUAUAUAAUGUGAAAUUACAAAAAUGCCAUUAUAUCAGUUCAAUUCGAAUUUUGUAACUUGUGAUCCAAAAACUGAACCAAACCGAACCAUUUGGUUUGGUUUUUAUAUAUUCAGGUUUUUAAUUUAAAAAAACUAAAUUGAAAUUGAAAGAACUAAACCGAACCGAAUUUUUUUUUUUUUUUUGUUUCGGUUCAAUUAUGCCCAUCCCUACUUAGUAGGCUGGGCAUUAAUUUCUUUGAAUUGUGCUUUCAUUGCAGUAAUCUCCUCCUUGGUAAUAGGUUUAAUUGCUUGUUGAUGCCUCAUUUCCUCUAGUAACAACUAGUCUAACAAGCCAUCAUCGUCAAACAUGUACCUAUUAUAAGCAUCAUCCAGAAUUUGCUCUCUUUGCUUUUUGCUUAGUGUCUUCUUUGCACAAGCUAUUAUCUCAGCUUUUGUAUGAAUAUCUUUAUCUUUUGAUUCACCAGAGGAUGAAUCAUCACCGGAAUAGAGUGGUGAAGGCCCCAUAGAUUAGUGUGAUCAAGUUCUAGUGUAGUUUUGGUUUUGAUUUCAGUAUUAGGAAAAUGAAGCCUAUGAAAUUUACUAAGCUAACAUGCUUCACAAAAGUGCUUUAAUACUUGAAGAGGAUAAAUGAGGAUAAAUAAAUUUAAAUAUACAUUAGAUUUUGAGGGUUGGGAUGUCAAAACUUUUGGUGAAAAAGAGUUAGUACAAGCAUUUUUAUUGAGAUUGAAAAUAUUUCUUAAGAUGAUCAAUACUAGUUACAAAAUUGGAAUGAAAAAAAAAGGCAACAUAGACAAAGGUUUGUUUAUUUGAUUGUAAGAUAGAAAAGACUUGUAUUUAAGUUGUGGAAAGGAUUUGAGCAGCAAUUUAUACAACCUUUUCUCAGCAAAACCUUCCUCUUCAAUGAAUCCUUCACAAAACAAAUAGAUCCAAGAAAUUCGACAAAUAAAUUGUUGUCAAUGGUAAGUUUUGAAAUGCUCAAUAGAUUCUUUGUAAUGGAUGGAACAAACAGUACAUCCUUAAGUAAAAUAUGUCUUAUAUUAUCUUUUUUUAAUUCUUUUUUAAAAAAUAAGUGAAUAAUAGUAUGUCAAUCUCAAAUAUCAAUAUGUACAAUUUUUAUUUGUGUAAGAAUUUGCAUCCAAUAAUCAUCAAUACAUAAUUGUCUUUUAAUUGAAUGGUUCUCACCUCCCUUCCAAACUUUGAAAAGGUAAAAUAAGAUCAAUCAUGUCAGUGGCAAUUAAUAUAAAGAUUACUUUUCUUAUUUGUAGUAACGUCCUCUGAUUAUUUAGCUGAUUUUCAAGCUACACAUUUAUUCCAUUUGAUGUUGAUAUUAGUAAAAUUAAUGUAAUAUUUAAAAAGGAAAAAAAUCCGUCGAGCUAAAAGCCGAGUAUAAAAUUGAACCGGACCCAAACCAGAAACGCACGCCAACAACAUGCUUGCGUUAGUCGGCCCAUGCCCAUAAACCCACCAAGCCCGAUCCAAAUAGAAAAAUGAAUUGGACACCCGAGAUAGCAGAAACAGAUAAGUAACGGUCGUGUUAUCCCCAAUCUCAUAUCUUCAACGGUAUCCAGCCAACAUCUCAAAGUGUUCAAUUUUUUUUUAAGCCAAAAAAAAAUUCAAAAUUUUCAAGCGGAAUCUGGGAAGAUGGCGAUGAAAAGCAAGAUUCUGGUUAUCGGCGGAACCGGAUACAUCGGUAAGUACUUAAGGUGCGUUUGAAAUUGAGGUUGAACAACUAUAACUUUAAAACUACAGCACUAAAAUAUUUGGUAAACACUAACUGUUGUAACUUAAAAGCUAUUUAAUAUAAUUUUUCACUUGUAUAAUAAAAAAUUUAUUAUCUUUAAUAAUUUUGUCAAAAUUAUUAUUUAAAAUAUAUACAGUAAGAGAGAUUGUAACAUUUUCAAUCUUUGGUUUGAUAUUCUGGAAGAAAACGGUUUGCCGUUUACGGAGAAAAUGGCUAACCGUUUAAUUUCAGAGAGCAUGUUUUCUAUUCUAGAGAAAACGACUAACCGUUUGGAGAAAAUGGCUAACCGUUUGGAGAAAACGGCUAACCGUUUUGAGAAAACGGCUAACCGUUUAAUUCCAGAGAGCAUGUUUUCUGUUCUAAAGAAAAUAACUAACCGUUUGGAUAAAACAACCAACCAUUAAUUACAGAGAGUAACUUAUUUGACAUUCUGGAAUAAAACGGCUCACCGUUAUUGAGAAAAUGGCUAACCGUUUAUUUCCAGAGAGCGUGUUUUUGCGUCAACUGGAAAAACGGUUAGCAAGCUUGGAAAUUUCAAUUGUCAAUCGAUGCAAACUCAAACCAAAAGAGUGUUUUUUAAAGAAGUACCAUUUUUAAUGGUUGUAUUCUUUCAAAUAAACAUCUUCUUUAUUAAAGAUAAACAAACUAUUAUAUCAUAAUCAGAUUUUGCAGGUUUCAUAUAUGUUCUGGAAAUACAAUCUUAUUUUCUAGAGAUUGUAUUCAGGAUUUGAUAUAUCUUAGGGGUAAUUUGCCAUUAAAACUCUAUAGCAAACCAAGAUUGGUGAGGGCAAAUAAAACCUUAAAGAAAAGUGUGCAAACACGUCUCAAAUCCUAAGAAAUUUUCUUUGUUCUUUGCCUCCAUAUUCUUAAAAUUUGAAAAUUCACCCAUCAAUCUUUAAGGUUUUAUUUUGAUGCAAAUAGAGGCUGAGAAGAGUUUGACGCCAUUUCUUAAUCCUAGUGUCCAUCUCGAUCGUUUUGAUGGAACAAAUUUCACUCGUUGGAAGGGAAAAUUGUUCUUUCUUCUUACUGUUCUUAAAGUGACAUAUGUUCUUGAUCCGAAAUUGGAACCAUUUCCAGAACCAAGAGAAGAUGAUACCGAAGUUGUUAAGGCUGCAAGGAAACGUCGUGAAGAUGAUGAAUUGAUGUGCCGGGGUCACAUACUCAAUACGCGUUCUGACAGGUUAUAUGAUCUCUACAAUUUUAUGACUUCUCCGGUGGAAAUUUGGAAUGCUCUUAAGUACAAAUACAAAACGGAGAAAGAAGGUACUGACAAAUUCCUUGUCUCUAAAUAUUUUGAAUUUAUUAUGAUAGACACACAAUCCAUUCUUGAUCAAAUACAUGAGUUAUAAAUUAUUGUUGCUAAGCUUCGAGAGUUAAAAGUUGAAAUUUUUGAAUCAUUUCAAGUUGGGACUAUUAUUGCUAAAUUGCCUCAAAGUUGGAAUGAUUAUAGAAAGAAACUCCUUCAUAGUAAAGAGAACAUAACUUUAGAAGAAUUGCAAAAACACUUGAUAAUUGAAGAAGAGACUAGGUCUCGCGAAUCCAAGGAUAAGCAUGAUUCUACUAAAGUUAAUGUUCUUGAAGCUAGUAAAUUCUCAAAGAAUUUUAAAGUCAAGAAUGACAAGAAAUUUAAGAAGUCCAGCACACAAAAGUUUUCUGGAAAUUGUUUCUUUUGUGGUAAGAAAGGUCAUCGCCAAAGUGAUUGCAGAUUCAAGAAAAAAAAAAGGAAGAAGUGGAUUCCUAUAAAGCUAAUGUUAUUGAAAACAAAUCUGAAAAGAUUUGUGCUAUGGUUUCUGAAAUGCAAAUUGGCAUGAUUAUCGAAACCAAUAUGGCUGAAACUAAGUCCUAUGAUUGGUGGCUCGAUUCGGGUACAACAAUUCAUGUUUGUAAUGAUAAGAAAUUUUUAUUAUCAUACAAAGAAGAAACGGAAGGACAAAUGGUUCUCAUGGGGAACAAUAAUGCAGCCAUAGUAGCAGGGAAAUGAGUAGUUGAGAUCAACUUCACUUCUAGAAAGAAAGUCACAUUGUAUAAUGUCUUUCAUGUACCUUUCGUUAGGAAGAAUCUUAUUUCUGCUAGUUGUAUGUGUAAGCAUGGGCUUAAGAUUGUGCUUGAGGGUAAUACUUGUAUUAUCUCAAAGAAUGAAUUAUUUGUUGGGAAAUGGUAUUCUUGUGAUGGAAUGUACAAACUCAACAUUAAUAAUAAUAAUAUCAACUUAGCUUAUAUUGUUGAGUCUUGUGAUGUUUGGCAUGCUAAAUUAGCACAUUUGAAUUUUAGAUCUUUGAAAUACAUGUCUGAGCAUGGUUUGAUUAAUUGCAAUGAUGUUAAAGGUCAUAAGUGUGAAAUCUGCAUCCAAGCUAAAUUAACUAAGAAACAUUUUCUUAAAGCCGAACGAAAUACUCAAAUAUUGGACUUAAUAUAUACCGAUAUUUGUGAGUAUAAUGGCGUUUUAACAAGAGGAGGUAAGAAGUACUUUAUCACUUUUAUUGAUGAUUGUUCUAGAUACACUUAUGUGUAUUUACUUAGAACAAAAAAUGAAGCUUUUGAUAAAUUUAAAAUUUUCAAAGCUGAAGUUGAGAACUAAAAAGAUAAGAAAAUCAAAAUGGUUCGUAGUGAUAGAGGUGGUGAAUAUUUCUCAAUUGAAUUUAAUAAUUAUUGUGAAGAAUUUGGAAUUAUUCACCAAAGAUCAGCUCCAUUUACUCCUCAACAAAGUGGUUUGGCUAAAAGAAAGAAUAAGAUCUUCACAGAUAUGAUAAAUUCCAUGAUCCUUAAUGCAAAACUACCAAAUAAUUUGUGGGGGGAAGCAUUACUCACUGCAUGUCAUAUUCAUAACAGAAUUACAUAUUUGAAAACACAUAUAUCUCUUUAUGAAAUUUGGAAAGGAAGAAAACCAAACUUGAUGUAUUUAAGGGUCUAGGGUUGUUUAGCUUUUUAUAAAAUACAUGAUCCUAAAUCAUCAAAGUUAUGUGCUAGAUGUAUAAAGAGUGUUUUCGUAGGAUAUGCUGAAAAUUCCAAGGCUUAUAGGUUGUUAGAUUUAGAUUAUAAUGUGAUUGUGGAAUCUAGAGAUGUUGAAUUUAUUGAGAAUAAAUUUCAACAUGAUUCUAAUAUUGAAUUAGAAUCAAUUAUUGAUCAACCAUGUGUUAAUACUCCUGUUACCUCCACUAACAAUAAUAAAAGGAAAGACUCUAUGACAUCUUUCGAACCAAUGAGGAGUCAAGGUGAAAAGAAAGAAAAGAGUUUAGCUCCGAAUUUUAUUUCAUCACAAGCACUACUCUUCUUGGUUGAAGGGGAUAGAAAGAAUGUACUUAACAAAGUACCAUUGUUGUUAAAUAUUGAAAAAGAUCCAAAGACAUUUAGCGAAGCUAUGUCUUCUAGAGACGCUUCUUUUUGGAGAGAGGCGGUAAAUGAUGAAAUUGAUUCGAUUAUUUCGAAUCAAACAUGGGUCUUGGUUGAUCUUCCUCCAGGAUCUAAACCAAUUAGCAGCAAAUGGGUAUUUAGAAGAAAGUACAAUAGUGAUGGUUCUUUGCAAACUUUUUAGGCUAGAUUAGUAGCCAAAGGGUUUAAGCAAAGAAAUGGUAUUGGUUAUUUCGAUACAUAUGCUUCGGUAGCAAGGUUAACUUCUAUAAGAGUGCUAUUUGCAAUUGCUUCAUUGAAUAAUUUGUAUGUGCAACUAAUGGAUGUUAAAACCGCUUUUCUUAAUGGUGAUCUUGAUGAAGAAAUCUAUAUGGAACAACCUGAGGGAUUUGUUUUACCAGGAAAUGAGAAAAAAGGUAUGCAAGUUAGUCAAAUCACUUUAUGGUUUAAAGCAAGCACCAAAACAAUGGCAUGAGAAGUUUGAUUCGGUAAUUUUAUCUCAUGGUUUUAAGCAUAAUAAUGCUGAUAAAUGUAUAUAUUUUAAAGUUACGAAUGAUUUUGGUGUGAUUAUAUGCUUGUAUGUUGAUGACUUGCUUAUCUUUGGAACAAAUAUGCAAGGAGUAGAUGAUACAAAGAAGUAUUUAACUUCACAAUUUAAGAUAAAAGAUCUUGGUGAAGUAGAUACUAUCUUAGGUGUCAAAGUGAAGAAACAUAGUGGGGGUUACUCGUUGUGUCAAUCUCAUUAUAUAGAGAAAGUGCUUCUUAAAUUCAAUUAUUUGAAAUUUAAAGAAGCUAAUACCCCAUAUGAUUCUAGUAUUAAAUUAUUAGAGAAUUCAGGCCGAGUAGUAGCACAACUAGAAUAUGCUAGUGCUAUUGGUAGCUUGAUGUAUGCUAUGCAUUGUACGAGGCCUGAUAUAGCAUUUGCAGUUUGCAAAAUGUCAAGAUUCACGAGUAACCCUAGUGUUGAACACUGGAAAUCAAUUGGUAGAAUACUUGGUUAUCUUAAAAGGACCAUUAAUUUGGGUUUGUUUUAUAAUGAUUAUCUUGAAGUACUGGAAGGAUAUUCAGAUGCUAGUUGGGUAACCAAUACAAGAGAUAAUAAAUCCACUUCUGGUUGGAUUUUUACAAUUGCUGGAGGAGCAGUUUCUUGGGCUUCAAAGAAACAAAUGUACAUAACUCAUUCAACAAUGGAAAGUGAGUUUAUAGCACUCGCAGUUGCAAGCAAGGAAGUAGAAUGGCUGAGAAAUUUGUUGUUUGAUAUAAUGUUAUGGCCACAACCGAUGCCAUCUAUUUCUUUGUACUGCGAUAGUGAAGCUACAUUGUCUAGAGCUUAUAAUAAAGUGUAUAAUGGAAAGUCUAGACAUAUUAGCUUGAGACAUGAAUAUGUGAAACAAUUAAUAGCAGAUGGUGUUAUUAAUAUUGUUUAUGUUAGGACUAAUAAGAACCUAGCGGAUCCUUUAACAAAAGGUCUUACAAGAGACUUAGUUAAGGAUACAUCUUUUGGAAUGGGAUUGAAACCUUUAAAUAAUAAAGUCACCAACGACGAUAACCCAACUAUGUAGUAGUUGCACCGCUACUCCAUAGUUAAAUGGAUAAUAACAAGUUGUUGUUAUGUGACUGGUUUGGCACCGAGUAAUAAAUAAUCACAUUCGAGAUAUUCGGUGCAAAUAGCUACGAGGUUGAGGUUGAGUAUUUACUCUUAAUGAAGUUCAAGUCUUAUACUAGCUAAAGACAUGAUUUGAAACUUCACCUAAGUGAACAUAAGAAAUGGUGCCGUUUCUAACAAGAUCAUGGUUUAAUCUAGUAAAUGUUUAUGAAUCCAAGAUAGAGCACAAGGCCGGAAUAGUGCUAAAUAUUGGAACACAACUUUGAAAAUCUGGGAUAGCUUAUAUGUGAUGUAUCUCCGGUAUUUACUUAAGAGACAAAGUUUAAUGCUUAGCACACUAUUGUUUUGUAAAUGCUUUGAAAUACACUCACUAAUUAAAGGUUAAAAUCGAAAGAUAUCGUUUUGUAUGUAUAAGUUUAUCAUUAAUAAAUAUGAAAAAUAUUACAAUCUAGUGGGGGAUUGUAAGAGAGAUUGUAACAUUUUCAAUCUUUGGUUUGAUAUUCUGGAAGAAAACGGUUUGCCGUUUAUGGAGAAAACGGCUAACUGUUUAAUUCCAAAUAGCAUGUUUUCUGUUCUAGAGAAAACGACUAACUAUUUGGAGAAAAUGGCUAACUGUUUAAUUUUAGAGAGCAUGUUUUCUGUUCUAGAGAAAACGGCUAACCGUUUGGAUAAAACGGCCAACCGUUAAUUACAGAGAGUAACUUAUUUGACAUUCUGGAAUAAAACGGCUCACCGUUAUUGAGAAAACGGCUAACCAUUUAUUUCCAGAGAGCGUGUUUUUGCGUCAACUGGAAAAACGGUUAGCAAGCUUGGAAAUUUCAAUUGUCAAUCGAUGCAAACUCAAACCAAAAGAGUGUUUUUUUAAAGAAGUACCAUUUCUAAUAGUUGUAUUCUUUCAAAUAAACAUCUUCUUUAUUAAAGAUAGACAAACAAUUAGAUCAUAAUCAGAUUUUGCAGGUUUCAUAUAUGUUUUGGAAAUACAAUCUUAUUUGCUAGAGAUUGUAUUCAGGAUUUGAUAUAUCUUGGGGGUAAUUUGCCAUUAAAACUCUAUAGCAAACCAAGAUUGGUGAGGGCAAAUAAAACCUUAAAGGAAAGUGUGCAAACACGUCUCAAAUCCUAAGAAUUGUUUUUUGUUCUUUGUCUCAAUAUUCUUAAAAUUCGAAAAUUCACCCAUCAUAUACAUACUACAUAUUAUUAAUUUUUGUUUUAUAACUAUAGUUUUUUUUUUACCGCAACUGUAGUUUAAAAACUACAGCACCUCAAUCCCAAAUAAGACCUUAGUAGAAGUGAGCGCGAAAGCCGAUCACCCAACAUUCGCGCUUGUGAGAGACUCCACUCUCUCCACUCCUUCCAAAUCCAAAAUCCUCGACCGUUUCAAAAAUCUCAGCUCGACCGUUUCAAAAAUCUCAGCGUCAAUUUAGUUCAUGUGCGCCACUCUUUUAGCUUUCCAAUUUUCCCGCCAAUUUUCUUUUAUUGUGAUUAAUUAAUUAAUUAAUGUAAAGAUUUUAUAUUAUAAUUUUGUUUGCAGGGAGAUCUAUACAGCCAUGAGAGCUUGGUGAGUACAAUAAAGCAAGUGGAUGUGGUGAUAUCAGCGAUAGGUCGCACUCAAUUAGCUGAUCAACUCAACAUUAUCGCAGCAAAUUGCGAUAACUAAGUACUUGGGAUUUUAAAGAAGCUGGAAAUGUUAAGGUUCUGAUUAACUUAAGUAAAUGCGUUAACUAAUUACUUGGGAUUUUAAAUUCAAAUGUGUGAAUUGUUCUAAAAAAUUAUUUAUGUUUAUUAGUCAGAGAUUCUUUCCUUCAGAAUUUGGAAAUGAUGUUGAUCGCGUGCAUGUCGUUGAGCCAGCAAGAACAUCAUUUGCCACCAAGGCUAAAAUCCGCCGAGCUGUUGAGGAUGAAGGAAUUCCAUACACCUACGUAGCUACGUAGCUUCCAAUUUCUUCGCUGGUUUGUAUCUUUCCAGUUUCUCACAGCCUGAAGCCACAGCUCCUCCAAGGGAUAAAGUGGUCAUCGUAGGUGAUGGAAAUGCAAAAGGCAAAGCGCUUCUGGAUACAUUUACUCUGUACACGCAAUGUGUGGUUACUGUUUGGAGAUAAAAAAGGAGAUUAAUUAAUAAAGAAAAUGAAAUUAUUGAGGGAUUUGCUGAAGAGUUGCGUGCACUCCUCAUUUUUCUCCACCACUCAUCUUACUUGCAAAAUGCAAUGACCAAACUAUCCUCGCCAAAGCCUAGACAUUUACUUGUGUUCAAAGGCCAUUUAAGGGAGACAAGUACAAAAAGUUAUAAAGGAUAGUAAGCAGAAGAAGAAAAUGGAAAGGGGAGGGGGGGGGGGGGAGAAUAAAAAAGGGGAGUGGGGCGUUAUCUAGGGAGGAUUUUUAUUUUUAUUUUUUUUCCUCUCUUCUCCAUGGCAUCUCUUUCUCUCUUUCUCCCACUAAGAAAUUCUUUCUUUUACACUCUAUUUUACUUUUAUGCAAAUUACGCAAAAAACUUUUGGUUUUAAGGCAAUGUUUAUUAAGCCACGUGAAUUUGAAAAAGCAUGAAUAAGGGGAUGAUUUUAACACAUUAAUUCACCAACAUUAAUUGGAAAAGAUCAGUUGCCACUUCGAAUCAGAGUAAUUUCUUCGGCAAUAGCCAAAUAUUGAUAUUUGAUCUUGACACUGUAGUUAAAUCAAUGUAACUGAUUUUGUCAUUUGAUCCCCAGUAAUUUUUAACAAGGAAGACGAUAUUGGGAUUAAUUCUAUCAAAGCGGUGGAUGAUCCAAGAACACUGAACAAAAUACUUUACAUCAGACCCCGUUGCAAUAUCUACUCAUUUAAUGAUCUUGUGUCUCUGUGGGAGGAAAAGAUUGGCAAAGCCCUUGACAGGGUCUAUGUUACAGAGGAACAACUUCUGAAAAACAUUCAAGGUUAGUUAGAACUAUCACUUUAUCAAGUGGAUAGAUGUAACUGACCGAUAAUGGAAAUUUUUUUCCUUCUCCAAAAUGCGAUAGAAUCUAAUCGGUUUCAACAAUCUCAAGAACACCUAUUCAUGGUUGUGUUGUUUGAAAUCUGUAUGUAUCAGUUUUCUUUCUAGAUCUCAGAUUGCUCGCAAGGAUGUCAAGUUUUGAUGAUGCUUGCCUGUUUUCCUGUGUUUACAGAAGCUUCAUAUCCACUCAAUAUGAUAUUACCUAUUGGGCACUCUGCCUAUGUCCUGGGAGAUCAGACCAACUUCGAAAUUGAACCUUCAUUUGGAGUAGAGGCAACAGAGCUUUAUCCAGAUGUCAACUACACUACUGUGGAUGAGUACCUCAACCAGUUCAUAUAAACCUUCUGAGAUGAGCAGCAGGAUCCUAACAAAAAAUUGGGUGGUUUCCAUCCCUGAUUCUAUGGUAUAAAGAUAGCGGCUUUCCCUGCUUUUGCCAGUUCAGUGAAGUUUGUUAGAUGAUGUUAUUUAUACUAUACUAGCAAAGAUCAAGUUGCCUUUCUUGUCAAGAAGCCAAGCUCUGGCAUUGGUUUAUGCUAGUUUUUCACACUAAUAUUGGUAUUCACUAAUUUUUUUUUUUCAUUUCACACCGCCAUCAUCAGUGGAGAUGCCCUCUUGUAUGGUACUAACUUUGAUUUUCCUUAUGCUUCACUUGCUGUCUCUGCAGAUUCGUAAAAGAUCAUUCAUGGAUAAGAUCAGAACAUCAAUUUGAUACAGUAUGCAUUGAGAACUCCCACAUGAUUCUUGUUCUAGUUCUGGUUAGACAUGAAACAUGUUACAGUUCCAUAACUUGAGACAUUGUCAUUCAACAAUUAUCAUCACAUUAAAACAGUGGCCAAUCCCUAACAGCUACCUUUUGACUCUUCACAUUUUUUUUCUGCAUUUUAUGCGCAUUAAUUAUCUAGACCUAGACUUAUUACACUUCUCAGCCUGGCCCGUUGGACAGUGAGUGAUGAAACAAAUUUUUUUUCAUGUUUAUUACUUUUUUUGCAUUCAAAAUGAUAAAACUGCAGAGGUUGUUGCAUGCACGUCAUUUGUUAGUAGGGGUAUCAAUUUAUGAACGUAUGAAGUAUCUCUUCUGCACCGGCAUCCUCCUUAACUGUCAGUAGGAUCACAAUAAGUCGACCAACCAUCUACCGUAUGGAUUAUCUAUAAAUUGAAAUUGGUGUGUAUUAUGGAUCUGUCACUCUGCUGCUUCUGUUUUCUUUUCUAUUUUUACCAAGAAAGAAACAUUGUUAAAACUGAAUGGUUGUUAUCUCGUCUUGUUGUAAUGUUGUGUAUGCUUUCUAGAAAAUAAUGAAGUGCCAAAUAUGAAAAUACUAGUGGCUACCUUACCAUCCUUAAUAAGUUGUCUGAUUGUCACCGUCAACAAUCACUCUCAGCAACUCAUAAUCCAUUUAAGCAUAUUAUAAAAUAAUCAAUUUUGUAUUUGCACCAACUUUUAGUUUUAAAUGACAAUUUCGUUGAUCCCCACACUUCUGUACUAAUCAAAUCCACUGAAACUGGACUUUUUUUUCUUUUUUUUUAUAAUUACAUCGAUUGCAUUGGCUAUUGCAGGGAAAAGACUGCCUCUACAGGGAACUAAACUUUCAGAAUUGAUCUUAUGAGGGUUUGAAUAUGCUCUCGUACUAGGUCAAUGGCCUAUUGGUUCGAGACCAUUCACAAAGAAAGAAAUGAGUUUUGCUUGUAUAAAUGAAAGAAAUCCAAAUGAUAACUAAUGUAUAGUGGUACAUGAGAAAAAUAAUUUCAGCCCCUGUGUAAAGUCAAAAAGAGAAAAUAUUAAAAGAAAGGAUAAUGUCAUUGAGUUCGGUGAAGUGAAAGAAAAUAAAAAACAUGGGAUUUAGUCAAACUUAGUGUCCCAAUCAGCAGAAAAAGGUUUUAGAAACUCACCUCAAGUUAAGCCAACUAUUAGGAGCUUUAUUUAAUCAUGGCUUUCUAAUGUAUAGUACUCCAAUACUAAACGAGGGCUACCUCUACGCUUGCAAAUGUAAAUGAAAUUGAGUUCGUGACGCACAAUGAAGUGAGCAAAAUGAGUUGAGAUCUGAGAAUAUAUUAAAGAAAAUAUGAAUCAAUGAAUUUUGGUUAAAAAAAACAAAUGCUGGUUCUUCAAGACCUGCGUGUAUUGUGUAAGUUUUGUUAGGAGAAGGAAAGCAUUUUGGUCUAAAACGCACUAAAUCGGAUUCAUUUGCUUGAUAUCUAAUAAGGGUGAAUUAACCACUCGCCCACAGCAAUUCAAGUACCCAAAAAAGUUUUGUGGGGGCUAAAUUUCUUCUUUAAUUAUAAAAAAUAAUUGAACGGAGGAUAAAAAUUUAGGCCAUGUAUAACAAUAACUAAUAUAAACUAGUCCUAAUAAUAGUAUAAUUGUAAAUAUCAGUUGUAGUCUCAUACAAUAUAAGUUUAUAGAUUAUAAUAUCGGCAUAAAAAGAAAAAUGAUAUCUGACGGUCAAUCAAUAAAAGGAUAAAAACUUUGGAGUAACAUACCACAAAGUCAAUGUAGCUGGACAGUGAAUAUAAUAUGUAAACAAAUUUAAAUGGGAUAAUACCAUACGGUACAUACAUAACAUUUUAAAACUGAAUUAAAAAAAUAAAAUUAAAACUGAAUUAGAAUUCGUAUGUGUAUCCAGCUACCUUGCCACAGUUGUAAGGUACCCUAACUUUGCAACAAUUUCAUCCUUCGUGCAUUCGGUCACAAAGUCCAAAUUAGGCACGUUUAAGAAUCGAACUGAAAAACUAAAAAAAAGAAUCCGGCGAUAUUUGCGAACCGGAAACGAGCCAGCGUUAUGCUUAUGUCAUUUCAGAGAUAUCAACAGUCGUGCUUUCAGUCCUUAAACCUCAAGGGCAUUUUCGUCCUUUCACUCAAGCGUGAAACUGCAUGUAAGAACUGCUUCGCUUACACGCUCCAUGCACAUUUAAAGGCACCACUGUCGGAUAAAAAAUAUCCAUCCAUUUGAUCAUUUCAAAACAAAACGAAAAAAAAAAUCUCAGUAAUUGAACUGAACGAGUCUCAGAAAUGGCAUCGAAAAGUAAGAUUCUAUUCAUCGGCGGGACAGGGUAUAUCGGUAAAUUCACUGUCGAAGCGAGCGUAAAAGCCGGCCACCCGACGUUCGUGCUCGUGAGAGAAUCCACAAUCUCUGGUCCUUCCAAAUCUCAACUCCUCGAUCACUUCAAAAACCUCGGCGUCAAUCUCGUCAUAGUGCGUUUUCAUUUUUCUCUUUUCUUAAUUUUUUAUUCCGAUCAUUUUUACACGUCGAAGUGUAGCAUCUACUACUUAAUAUACAUAAUGAUAUUAUUAUUUUUUAAUUUUUUUGGGUUGCUGUUAUUAUUAUGCAGGGAGAUGUGUUGAAUCACGAGAGUUUGGUGAAGGCGAUUAAACAAGUGGACGUGGUGAUAUCAACGGUCGGUCACACUUUAUUAGCUGAUCAGGUCAAGAUUAUUGCUGCCAUUAAAGAAGCCGGUAACGUUAAGGUAUAACAUAAUUAAUAUAAAUAUCUUGAAUUCCGAUCAGGAUUGUGCACUCGCGAACACGUGGUGAUUUAUUCUUGGUGUGGAGCUCGCUGUAGAGUAGAGCUCCCAGUUCAGCUAAUAAACACCCCGUCACAUGCGCAAUUGCGCCUCAAAAUAAUUUAAUUGAUUAAUUAAGGAUAAAUACCAAUGGCAUGAAAGCAAUUAAAAUUAGUUGAUGUUUAUAAAUUAUUUAUUACUCAGAGAUUCUUACCAUCGGAAUUUGGAAAUGAUGUUGAUCGAGUUGAAGGCGCCGUAGAGCCAACAAAAUCGACGUAUGACGUAAAGGCGAAAAUCCGCCGAGCCGUUGAGGCAGAAGGCAUUCCGUACACUUACGUAGAAUCUUAUUGUUUUGAUGGCUAUUUCCUCCCCAAUUUGUUGCAGCCUGAGGCCACUGCCCCCCCUAGGGAUAAGGUUGUCAUCUUAGGCGAUGGAAAUCCAAAAGGUAAUAUAAUUUAAUUAAGCUCUGUUUGUUUGGUAUGUAUUUCGGUGUUAAUGUUAUUGUCUGUUGUACAAUGGAUGGUCUUGCUUGGUACUGUUGUUGGAGAGCUGCAGUGUUUUGAUAAACACCUCUAUCCUUAGCUUUCAAGUUAAGUUGAUUUUAUACAACACUUGUUUAAUUCAAAACUUGUAAUAUUCUUACUACUUUGAUAAAAAAUAUUACGAUUAAAGCAUUAAUGGCACCAUAAUACGAAAUGAACCUUAAGUGGUCAUUAUAGAUUUUAAGAUAGAGUUUUAAGUGAUUACCAGAUACUUUAGCUGCUGAACCGCCACAUCAUGGUUGCCACACAACAAUUUCAAACAGAACCUAAAUAACUUCAUUGCAAAACAGUUAAAUGAAUCUAACUUAGUUUCGUCGUUUGAUUUUCAGCUGUUUUUAACAAGGAAGAUGAUAUUGGAACCUACACUAUCAAAGCGGUUGAUGAUCCGAGAACCUUGAACAAAAACUUUUACAUUCAGCCUCCCGGUAAUAUUUACUCAUUCAAUGAUCUUGUGUCUCUGUGGGAGAGAAAGAUUGGUAAAACCCUCGAAAAGGAGUAUGUUUCAGAGGAGCAGCUCCUAAAGAAUAUUCAAGGUUGGUUAAAACUCUCUUUUUUAAAUGUAUUAAAGAGAGCCGUAUAUUCUCUGCCGUAAAUGUCAUUGAUCCUGUCUUCUCCAAAAUGUUGCAGAAGCUGCACCUCCACACAAAGUGAUAUUAUCAAUUUAUCACUCUGCUUUCGUGAAGGGAGUUCAAACCAACUUCAAGAUUGAACCAUCUUUUGGAGUUGAAGCCUCGCAGCUUUAUCCUGAUGUCAAGUACACUACAGUUGAUGAGUACCUCAAUCAGUUUGUGUAACCCUUCGCUGUUUCCAGCUGCAGCUUGCAGGAUCUUGGACUGUUGGUAAAUAAAUAAUUGGCUUGUUGCCAUCUUUGGUUUUAUAUGUAAAAAUUAUGGUUGUUGGCCUUACUUUCUUCUGGUUGUCCAUGGAAUUUGUUAGACCAUAUUAUGUUUGCUAUGUCAGUGAUCAAAUGAAGUAGACCAUGUACUUGAUUUGAGAGUAGUAGUUAUAAAGCCAUCAUGAUCAGGUGGGUGCGUGGGUUGGGCUUCUAUUAGGGUGCGUGUGUUGGGGGGCUUCAGGGGCUUGUGAUAUGGGUUCGACAGCCCCUAACGGGCAGUCAUUAUAAAAAUGAUUAUAGAGUUACAAAUCUAUGUAAAAAGCAAAAAUUAAAAGUAAUUUAUCAAUAAAAAUAAUUAAAAUUAAUAAAAAGUAGGUAUGAUAUUUCAGAAAUUAAAUUAAAGAUAGCAUUCUAAAGAGUUGGAUAAUCCUUCAACUAAACUAAAGAUCUAGUACAUUUGAGAGCAAAUUUAAUUAAAGAAAAGGAUAAGGAAAAACAAUAGAAUAAUAAUAUUAAAAAAUUGCAAAUCUUGGUCUUUUUUUGUUACGAUGAUGUUGAAUUCUUAUAAAUUUAAUCUUAUCUAUAGAGUUAUUUAGUUACUGUAUGUCAAAAUUUCCUAUAAAGAUGAAGAAAAAUUAUAUUAGGAGAAUAUCCAAAUCCGUUUAACUAAUGCAUCAUCAACAACAUGAGUACAACAUUUUCGAAUAAACAAAAGAAACUCGUUAUAUGUGCGAACCAGUUCCAAAAUAAAGAGCAGACUAUUGGAAGGAGACAAAUACGACAAGAAGAACAAAACAUUCUACAGUUCCUACAUGAGCCCGCAACAAUUAAUUAUUAACUCGACAUUCAUUACACUUUUUCUUUAAUUUGAAAGAAACCAAAAAUAAGAUAAAAUUGACUAAGAAAUAAAAAAGUGACCAAAAUCUUUUUGAAGUUUUGCCAGUUCAGCCAUGCACGCUUAUCUUUAUUCACUUUUUCCUUUCUUUCCUUUCUUUGCUGAAGCCUUCACAGAUCCUUUACCUUUCUGAGCCUUGCCAAUUUUCCCCUUCUUCAAACCACCUGGCCUUGCUGGAUCCACGUGUCCUUGCAUCCUUUUUCAUUCGUGGAUCAACAAGAAUCUCCCCCUUUCCAGCUCUCUCUUGAACUCCUUGCUUUGCGACCAUGUAUUCUUUUGUAGGCCUUUUGGGUAUAAUUGUUCAAUUUGAUUCCGCUUCGAACGAUCAGAGAUGUCCGCUUAGUCUGAUAUGACAUUUGCCUUCUUGCGAACCUUCUCAAGAUUUCGCAUGGCACCGUAUCUUUCGAGCUUUGGUCUUAGCCACGCUCUUGGCAGUAAGGGUGGGCCAUUCGGUUUUGGGAUAAACUUUUGGUUUCGUAUCGGUUUAGAUUCAAAAAUAAUAUAUAAAAAUAAGUAGAUUUUAAUGGAAAAAAUCCAAACUGAAACUGACCUAUCGAUUUCGGCUCGGUUUCAGUUCAGUUUCGAUUCUCCUAAUAGUUUUAUUUUGCCUUAUUGACUUCCGGUCAAUGACACUUUUGAAAAAUUUACAAAAAAAAAAAAAACUGGCCAUAACAAAAUUUCUAUAUGCAAAUAUUUCCUAAACAUUGGGCUAUACUAAAUUUUUUUCAAAGGUAGGGAUCCAAACGAUAUUAUCCCUCUACUUCAUCUUCAACCUUCGUCACUAGGGAUGGCAAAAUCCGAGUCCGGGUCCGGGUAUAGCCAUUCCGGAUCCGGACCCGAACGAAUAUUUUCUAUACCGGACCCAGAAAUAAACCCGUAUUUUUCCACUCCGAGUCCGAUACGGGUUCAACCCGGAAAAAUUCGGGUUCCCAGACUGCGGGUUUCUAACCCGGAUUGAUGAAUCCAAUUGAAAAAAAAAAACUAAAUUUGACUAAAAAAAUCAAAUAGAAAUACAUAUCUAGGAUUUCAACAAAUCAAAAAAAAAUUAUUUCAUCUGGAAACUAAUUAACAAAAACAACAAUUUUGUUUGGCUGCCCAGAAUCAGCAACCCAAUGUGGCGGCUCGUUCAAAACAUUAGUGUUUUCAACAGAUUUUGGGGUAGGAAAAGCCAAACCUAUCUAGAACAAUGAAUUUGUAUUUUUGGGGGAGAUGGGGUACCUCACUGGUUUGUUGUAUGCGGUGCAGUGUAUCUGAAAUUUGGGGGAGGUGAGAAGGGGAGAGGGAGUGGUAACAAUGGUGAAAGGUCAAAACCAAGAGAGAUGUCCUUCAAAAUGAGCUCACACAUGUAAAACAGUGAAAUAGAGGUUAGAGGUGAAGCCGGGGUACCCCGGCAUUCACACUCCGACGCUCAAGUUAGCAAACUCAAGCUUUUAUGACAAAGAGAACUGGCUAGCCCUCUGUAAAUUAGGGUUUAAGGUUCAAGGAAACCUAUUUUUUAGAGUGUGAGUGUUAAUGGUGAGUGAGAGACCUCUUGGAGAAUGAAACCCAGGUGCCUUUAUAUAUGGAGUACCUCAGCUGCCACGUGGCAUACCCUUUUUAGCUAACGUCUUUUUUCCUUUUUAUGAUUUUUUGGCCGUUAUGUGCAUGUUCGCGGCGUAUCUCAUCUUUUGGAAAUGUGGCGUGCGCUGGAGAGUGGUCCAGGGUACCUCUGCAGUAAUUGUCGGGUAGGCGGCUGAGGACCACUGUCCUUGGGACAAUGUCCUUCACUUUUGGUAGAGGUGACAGGCGGCUGUCCCCCCUUUUAGCACGACAUUUUUGAUUCCUAAUUCUGACAAAAUCGAAUAAUAUCUUUUAAGAGAUGGAGACGUUUCUCAUGGUAGAUAUUUUCGGAGGAUUCUCUGGCAUCCGAUCAGCCGGGUUCCUCCAGUUACGCGGGGUACCUCAAUUUAUGUGGGGUACCUCUAAUUGUGCGGGGUACCUUUAUUUGCGCAAGGUACCUUGAAUCAUGCCAGGUACCUCAGAUUAUGUGAGGUAUCUCUAAUUGUGCGAGAUACCUCUAUUUGCGCAAGGUACCUUGAAUCAUGCUGGGUACCUCAGAUUGUGUGGGAUACUUCUAUUUUCGCAGGGUACCUUGAAUCAUGUUGGGCACCUCAGAUUGUGCGGGGUACUUCUAUUUGCGCAGGGUACCUUGAGUCAUGCGAGGUACCUCUAAUCAGGCCAGGUACCUCUAAUCGUGCUGGGUACGUCUAAUCAUGCGGGGUACCUCUAAUCAGGCCGGGUACCUCUAAUCACGCCGGGUACCUCUAAUCAUGUGGGGUAUCUCUAAUCAGGCCGGAUACUUCAGAUUGUGCGGGAUACCUCAGAUUAUGCGGGGUACCUCUAUUUGCGCAAGGUACCUUGAAUCAUGUCAGGUAUUUCAGAUUGUGCGGGGUACCUCAAAUUGUGUGGGGUACCUCUAAUCGUGCGGGGUACCUCUAAUCAUGUCGGGUACCUCGGAUUGCACUGAAGUUAUUUCAUUCGUUGACACGUGGCGAUAUACUAUCUUUCCUAUUUUUCCCUCAAACAACAUCCCCCUAGUUUCUUUUGGCGAGAAGUUUUAGAGGCAAAAGAAAUUUACAUAAAAAGUAGGAGCGACACGUGGCGAUAUGAUGUUUAGCUCGAUGGGUAACUAAAUAGAGGGCGCCUCUAGGGGUACCCUGAGAACCCAAAAAGGGAAGAUGAGUUCCCUUUCCUCGGAAAUGACUACCACUUUGGACAUGUUGGAAAUGACAGAGCUAAUUGAUCAAAAAAUUUUCAUCUAUUUCUGGGGAAGAACACCAAAUACUGGUAGAAGGUAUCGUUAGGGUACCCCACCAUUAUCCAUAGUUUGUUUUCUAGUGACUGCCAUGGAUAAAUCGCUCUGGUGAAGGCUUCAAUGCAUUCUUUGGGCAUUUAAGAAGCAAUUAUUUAAUUAUCUCGGGAUCCACCUUAUUUAAGGGUACAUUUCCUUCAUGUUCUUCGAAGACAAAAAUAAAAUCAUAGGGCUUCCUUCCUUGCAACUUCAGAGGUACCCUCGACAGAAGAACAUAGUCGACAAUGCUUUUAAGCGUAUCAUGAUCGAGGAAUGGAGUGCUGAUCUGGGGUUGGUGGUGCCAAGAGUGGAGAAGAUGGUAGAUGAACCGGCUAUCUUGAAGGCGAUUGACGAUAGCGGGGCUCCUAACACAUCUUGGUCUGAAAGCCCAUUGAGAUUAGCUGAGGUACCUCAGAUGAAGUAUCUAUAAGGUACCCCUGAUACUAACCCUUGUGUUUUUGCUACUUUUAGCACUUUUGUUGAUCCCCUCAUCUUAAGGGAUGAAGUUGAAGAUAACCAUCCUGCUGUGUAACCUUGUUCGGCAUUACUGACAAGGUGUAUGGGGUACCUCGGGUACCCUAAUGCUUGGAUAUCCCUUGAGCUAUCUAUUACUUCAUGGCGGAAUAACCCAAUUUCAUCAACCAUAUGACGAUUCCUCCAGAUAUGCUUGUCGCUUAUCUUAAGCUUUCUUAGGGUUUCUCCCGGUGUAUCUGAGGAAUAACUUUCUGGCGUGGGGUACCCUUAAUCAGCGUAUGACGAUUUUCAUAGAAAUGCUUACCGCAAAUCUUCACAAAACUUGUGGCGGUUUCUGUUGAGAGAUGAUGGAAAACCUCAUGAUCCACCAUUCACUCUAAAUCAAAUAUGCAAGACAAAUAGUAAUAAAGGUGACUGCUCGCCUACCCUUAUGCAAAAUAGUGGAAAAUCUCAUGAUCCGCCAUUCGCGUGGAAUCAAAUAGACAACAUAGAUUGAGAUAAAUGUAGCUGCUCACCUACCCUUAUGCGAGAUGGUCGAAAACCUCAUGAUUCAUCAUUCGCAUGGAAUCAAAUAAACAAUAUAGAUUAAGAUAAAGGUGGCUGCUCGCCUACCCUUAUGCGAGAUGGUCGAAACCUCAUGAUCCACCAUUCGCAUGGAAUCAAACAUGACGAAAAAAUAAUGAUAAAGGCGGCUACUAGCGUGCCCUUUUGCUGGGUCUACUGUUGAGUAGAUUAUCAUGAUCGGAGAUUGGUCAUGUACACCUCGGGUACCCUGGAAUAAGGUACCUCGGGUACCCCGGAAUAAGGUGAUCUCUGGAUUCCAUCUUGCUUCAUAAUAAACAAUGCUCAACGACAUAUAUAAAAUUAGUUUAAUGGUGAACAUAUUAUUAUAGCAUUUCAAGCUACUCAUCCAUAUCAAAAAAUCGAGAGGCAAAUAAAAGAGCACACAUUAUCAAACUUUGUAAAGAAAAUACAUUCACAAAGAGUGGCGAUAUGGAUCAUUAUAUGACACUAUUUUAUUAUCCUAAGGAGAAUAUAGGGGAUCCCGAGAUCACUUGUUAUUGUCAUUAAAGGCUUAGGAAACUGACCAGUUUGGGGUACACUCUGGAUACCCCAUAUAGCCAAGCAUAUAUUUCAAACAUACAAGCAUUAAAGAAAACAAACAAACUAAGUAGAAGGGGGUAAAGUGUUAUCACUUUACUAGUAGUAUGACUUUUCUUUGUUGUUCUUCUGAAAGGUUGGAGCCUAUUUUGACGGUCUUUGUUGGAUCGGUGGCGCAAAUUGAGACUGAAAUUGGGUCUUCAACCAGGGUACCUCGUUUUUCAUCUUUGGGUAUUCAAGGAUCCAAAUGUGCCUCCAAUUCACAUUUGGGCUUAAUCUGGUCCCCUUAGGGUAUCCCCGCAUAACUUCAGAGUAACUAGUUAUGGGGUACCCCACCACCGAGGCCUCGAUGGUGACUCUUGCUGCUUUGAUGGUGGCGAUCUUAGAGGUUGGGGUACUCGUGAGAUACCCUGAGUUUAAACCCUCGUCCCCGCGGGGCAGCCCGUGGAGGGCUCCGAGUUUGGGGUACCCUUAGUAUUGGGGAUUCGGUUUUCUUGGGCUUCUUCUUGUUCUUUGUGACUUCGGCCUUAUUUUCUUGGCACUUCAAAUGGCAUUUCUCAUCCAUCUCCACUUACUGCAACGCCCGAGAACGGGCUUCCACAUAUGAAAGAGGGCGCUUCUUUUGAAAAGAACGUCAUACAUUGCCCAACCGUAAAUUUUUCUCAAAAUGGGUCAAUGUGUAUUGGUUUCCAAAUGCUCCGGUUCGCAGCACCUCUUAGUGGAAACGACUCACAUACUCUGUCAAAGGCUCGGCUUCCCCUUGCUUAAUAAAGGCAAGUUUGGAGACUACUCUAUCUUGAGUAGAAGCGUAGGAAAAUUCUUUAGUAAAUUCGGAUAACAAUUGGUGUUUUCAACAGAUUUUAGGGUAGGAAAAGCCAAACCUAUCUAGAACAAUGAAUUUGUAUUUUUGGGGGAGAUGAGGUACCUCACUGGUUUGUUGUGUGCGGUGCAGUGUAUCUGAAAUUUGGGGGAGGUGAGAAGGGGAGAGGGAGUGGUAACAAUGGUGAAAGGUCAAAACCAAGAGAGAUGUCCUUCAAAAUGAGCUUCACACCUGCAAAACAGUGAAAUAGAGGUUAGAGGUGAAGCCGGGGUACCCCGGCGUUCACACUCUGACGCUCAAAUUAGCAAACUCAAGCUUUUAUGCCAAAGAGAGCUGGCUAGCCCUCUGUAAAUUAGGGUUUAAGGUUAAAGGAAACCUAUUUUUUGGAGUGUGAGUGUUAAUGGUGAGUGAGAGACCUCUUGGAGAAUGAAACCCAGGCGCCUUUAUAUAUGGAGUACCUCAGCUGCCACGUGGCGUACCCUUUUUAGCUAACGUCAUUUUUCCUUUUUAUGAUUUUUAGGCCGUUAUGUGCAUGUUUGCGGCGUAUCUCAUCUUUUGGAAACGUGGCACGCGCUGGAGAGUAGUCCAGGGUACCUCUGCAGUAGCUGUCGGGUAGGCGGCUGAGGACCACUGUCCUUGGGACAAUGUCCUUCACUUUUGGUAGAGGUGACAGGCGGAUGUCCCCCCUUUUAGCACCACAUUUUUUAUUCCUAAUUCUGACAAAAUCGAAUAAUAUCUUUUAAGAGAUUGAGACGUUUCUCAUUGUGGAUAUUUUCAGAGGAUUCUCUUGCAUCCGAUCAGCCGGGUUCCUCCAGUUACGCGGGGUACCUCUAUUUGCGUAAGGUACCUUGAAUCAUGCCGGGUACCUCAGAUUGUGCGGGGUACCUCUAUUUGCGCAGGGUACCUUGAAUCAUGCUGGGCACCUCAGAUUGUGCAGGGUACCUCUAUUUGCGCAGGGUACCUUAAGUCAUGCGAGGUACCUCUAAUCAUGCGGGGUACCUCUAAUCAGGCCGGGUACCUCUAAUCACGCCGGAUACCUCUAAUCAUGCGGGGUACCUCUAAUCAGGCCGGGUACCUCAGGUUGUGCAUGGUACCUCAGAUUAUGCGGGGUACUUCUAUUUGCGCAGGGUACCUUGAAUUAUGCCAGGUAUCUCAGAUUGUUCGGGGUACCUCAAAUUGUGUGGGGUACCUCUAAUCGUGCGGGAUACCUCUAAUCAUGUCGGGUACCUCGGAUUGCACUGAAGUUAUUGCAUUCGUUGACACGUGGCGUUCUGCUAUCUUUCAUAUUUUUCCCCCAAACAAUUAGUAAAGAGAGCUAAAGAACUAGCUUUAGUUGCGAGUAGGAAGUCAAGAGUCAAGGAGCAGCCAAAGCACUUUUAAUGGUGAUGGGAAAGCUGGAGGGGUAAUGCAAAUAAGUUUACGUUGAUUGGAUAUUCAGAAGAAGUAAUACGCUAUUAAAAGCAACAAGUUUUCCAAAAAGCCAACAAAGACAGACACCAUCACACCACCCCGCACUGGAUGAAAAAAGAUGAAAUCAUGAUAAGUGGCAUCGAGUAAGCCACGUUCUCUCUCUCUCUCUCUCACUCGCACUCGCACACACUGUUACUAAAAUGACCAAAAAAUAAGAUUCCCAUCAAAAUAUUUUCGAGUAUCAUUCUUAAAAGUGACGGCGGCUGAUGAUGAUGAACACAGCCGCGAUUGCGAUUGGCGAAGGCGGCGUUCAACCCGUAUCACAGCUGGUUAUCGGUCGCGGCGGAAAAGAUAAGGAAACGACAGUUGAUAAUGAUGAUGAUGAUGUUGAACAGCCGCGAAGAUGGGUAAGUGAUGCGACGAUGAUUUGAUUUGAUGAAGAUGAGCUGAAGAGGGAAUAAGAGAGGAAAUGUUUGUGCGGCUGGGAAAGUGUAAUGAGCUGCUAGGGCACCAUUUGGGUUUUUUUGCUUUCCUAUUUAUAUUAAAAAUCAUUUUUAAAAAUUAAUAUAUAUCCGGGUCUGAGUUUUGGAUGUACGGGUUUACCUAGACCCGAACACACGCGGGUUUUUAAAAUGACAUCCGGAUCCAGAUUUUAUUUAAUCCGGUACGGGUUGAACCCGGACUGGAAAAUCCGGGUUUCAUCUAGGUCCGGGCCAGGUGCGGGUUGAAUUGCCAUCCUUAUUCGUCACUUAGCAGCUACCACAAUAUCGAAAUGGAAAAACUAAAAAAGCACCAUAGGAUACGCAUAUCCACACAUAUAUAAUAAAACUAAAUAUUAUUAAUAAUUUAGUAUCUAUAUAUAUAUAUAAAGCUGGGACUUGAGGAGGUGAUGUGGCAUCACCAUUUCUCAUCUUUGUAUAUUCUCUAUUAUCUAAUAAAUAGAGAAAUUUUCUUUUAGAUUUGGUUUUUCAUCUUCUCAUAAUUAAUUUGAUUGUUUUUACACAAUAACAAUUAUGUAAAGAUUUUAAUGAAGCAUAUUCUUUGUAAUGAACAUCCAAGGGGGAGUGUUAUGAAUUUAUUAAAAUAAAUGUAGAUGUUCAUAACAUAUAUCUCUUAGUCUCCCCACUAUCUCCCAUUAGCAACCUUUAACUUCCUUAUAACUCCCAUUAUCUCACAAGGAAUUAUGAUCCAUAAUUUUUCAUUAAUUUCAUGGAGUGAUUAUGUAACUAUAAAAGGAGAGCUUAUCUUUUUGUUUUGUACACACACAAUUGGAAUAAAUAAAAUCACUCUAUAAUAUAUUCUCUCAUUUUAUUCUUUAUCUUGUGUUGCUUCUUUAUUUGUAUUGUUGGCUAAUAGCUUUUUUUGUUUUUUAUAAGGCUGCCUCAUCUUAAAAAAAAAUUAAUUCAUAUUUUUUAUCAGUUUCAUCAAGUGUAAAGUAAGAAUAAAAAAAAGGCAAACAUGAAAUUAGAAAAGACUAAAGAGCUAUUUAAAAAAAAAAGCCAUUUAAAAAAAGGAAAAUAGCAAGUUAUUUGGCUAGUUAACUGGCGACAGAAGUAAUGGAAAGAAGCAACAACGGCAGCGGCAGGUCGACAGCGAAGAUUCAGCAGCACCGACCACCCACAGACUGGGAUUUGAUUGCAAAGUUGGGACUUAGGAUUUAGGUUUCUGGCUGCUGAAACUGAAAGCGAGAGAGUAGAAAGUAGAGACUGAGAGUGGUGCAAACAUGUGUAAUUGUGUGUGUGUGUCUAUAUAUAUAUAUAUAUAAUGUGAAAUUACAAAAAUGCCAUUAUAUCAGUUCAAUUCGAAUUUUGUAACUUGUGAUCCGAAAACUGAACCAAACCGAACCAUUUGGUUUGGUAUUUAUAUAUUCGGGUUUUUAAUUUAAAAAACUAAAUUGAAACUGAAAAAACUAAACCGAACCGAAUGUUUUUUUUUGUUUCGGUUCAAUUCUGCCCAUCCCUACUUAGUAGGCUGGGCAUCAAUUUCUUUGAAUUGUGCUUUCAUUGCAGUAAUCUCCUUCUUGGUAAUAGGUUUAAUUGCUUGCUGAUGCCUCAUUUCCUCUGGUAAUAACUAGUCUAACAAGCCAUCAUCGUCAAACAUGUACCUAUUAUAAGCAUCAUCCAGAAUUUGCUCUCUUUGCUUUUUGCUUAGUGUCUUCUUUGCACAAGCUAUUAUCUCAGCUUUUGUAUCAAUAUCUUUAUCUUUUGAUUCACUAGAGGAUGAAUCAUCACCGGAAUAGAGUGGUGAAGGCCCCAUAGAUUAGUGUGGUUAAGUUCUAGUGUAGUUUUGGUUUUGAUUUCAGUAUUAGGAAAAUGAAGCGUAUGAAAUUUACUAAGCUAACAUGCUUCACAAAAGUGCUUUAAUACUUGACUAUGAAUACUUGAAGAGGAUAAAUGAGGAUAAAUAAAUUUAAAUAUACAUUAGAUUUUGAGGGUUGGGAUGUCAAAACUUUUGGUGAAAAAGAGUUAGUACAAGCAUUUUAUUGAGAUUGAAAACAUUUCUUAAGAUGAUCAAUGCUAGCUACAAAAUUGGAAUGAAAAAAAAGGCAACAUAGACAAAGGUUUGUUUAUUUGAUUGUAAGAUAGAAAAGACUUGUAUUUAGGUUGUGGAAAGGAUUUGAGCAGCAAUUUAUACAACCUUUUCUCAGCAAAACCUUCAUCUUCAAUGAAUCCUUCACAAAACAAAUAGAUCCAAGAAAUUCGACAAAUAAAUUGUUGUCAACGGUAAGUUUUGAAAUGCUCAAUAGAUUCUUUGUAAUGGAUGGAACAAACAGUACAUCCUUAAGUAAAAUAUGUCUUAUAUUAUCUUUUUUUAAUUCUUUUUAAAAAAAUAAGUGAAUAAUAGUAUGUCAAUCUCAAAUAUCAAUAUGUACAAUUUUUAUUUGUGUAAGAAUUUGCAUCCAAUAAUCAUCAAUACAUAAUUGUCUUUUAAUUGAAUGGUUCUCACCUCCCUUCCAAACUUUGAAAAGGUAAAAUAAGAUCAAUCAUGUCAGUGGCAAUUAAUAUAAAGAUUACUUUUCUUAUUUGUAGUAAUGUCCUCUGAUUAUUUAGCUGAUUUUCAAGCUACACAUUUAUUCCAUUUGAUGUUGAUAUUAGUAAAAUUAAUGUAAUAUUUAAAAAGGAAAAAAAUCCGUUGAGCUAAAAGCCGAGUAUAAAAUUGAACCGGACCCAAACCAGAAACGCACGCCAACAACAUGCUUGCGUCAGUCGGCCCAUGCCCAUAAACCCACCAAGCCCGAUCCAAAUAGAAAAAUGAAUUGGACAUCCGAGAUAGCAGAAACAGAUAAGUAACGCUCGCGCUAUCCCCAAUCUCAUAUCUUUAACGGUAUCCAGCCAACAUCUCAAAGUGUUCAAUUUGUUUUUAAACCAAAAAAAAAAAUUCAAAAUUUUCAAGCGGAAUUUGGGAAGAUGGCGACGAAAAGCAAGAUUCUGGUUAUCGGCGGAACCUGAUACAUCAGUAAAUACUUAAGGUGCGUUUGAAAUUGAGGUUGAACAACUAUAACUUUAAAACUGCAGCACUAAAAUGUUUGGUAAACACUAACUGUUGUAACUUAAAAGCUAUUUAAUAUAAUUUUUCACUUGUAUAAUAAAAAAUUUAUUAUCUUUAAUAUUUUUGUCAAAAUUAUUAUUUAAAAUAUAUACUGUAAGAGAGAUUGUAACAUUUUCAAUCUUUGGUUUGAUAUUCUGGAAGAAAAUGAUUUGCCGUUUAUGGAGAAAAAGGCUAACCGUUUAAUUCCAAAGAGCAUGUUUUCUGUUCUAGAGAAAACGGCUAACCGUUUUGAGAAAAUGGCUAACCGUUUUGAGAAAACGGCUAACCGUUUAAUUCCAGAGAGCAUGUUUUCUGUUCUAGAGAAAACGACUAACCGUUUGGAUAAAACGGCCAACCAUUAAUUACAGAGAGUAACUUAUUUGACAUUCUAGAAUAAAACGGCUCACCGUUAUUGAGAAAACAGCUAACCGUUUAUUUUCAGAGAGCGUGUUUUUGCGUCAAUUGGAAAAACGGUUAGCAAGCUUGGAAAUUUCAAUUGUCAAUCGAUGCAAACUCAAACCAAAAGAGUAUUUUUUUGAAGAAGUACCAUUUUUAAUGGUUGUAUUCUUUCAAAUAAACAUCUUCUUUAUUAAAAAUAGACAAACAAUUAGAUCAUAAUCAGAUUUUGCAGGUUUCAUAUAUGUUAUGGAAAUACAAUCUUAUUUGCUAGAGAUUGUAUUCAGGAUUUGAUAUAUCUUAGGGGUAAUUUGCCAUUAAAACUCUAUAGCAAACCAAGAUUGGUGAGGGCAAAUAAAACCUUAAAGAAAAGUGUGCAAACACGUCUUAAAUCCUAAGAAAUUUUCUUUGUUCUUUGCCUCCAUAUUCUUAAACUUUGAAAAUUCACCCAUCAAUCUUUAAGGUUUUAUUUUGAUGCAAAUGGAGGCUGAGAAGAGUUUGACGUCAUUUCUUAAUCCUAGUGUCCAUCUCGAUCGUUUUGAUGAAACUAAUUUCACUCGUUGGAAGGGAAAAUUAUUCUUUCUUUUUACUGUUCUUAAAGUGGCAUAUGUUCUUGAUCCGAAAUUGAAACCAUUUCCAGAACCAAGAGAAGAUGAUACCGAAGUUGUUAAGGCUGCAAGGAAACGUCGUAAAGAUGAUGAAUUGAUGUGCCGGGGUCACAUACUCAAUACGCUUUCUGACAUGUUAUAUGAUCUCUACAAUUCUAUGACUUCUCCGGUGGAAAUUUGAAAUGCUCUUGAAUACAAAUACAAAACGGAGAAAGAAAGUACUGACAAAUUCCUUGUCUCUAAAUAUUUUGAAUUUAUUAUGGUAGACACACAAUCCAUUCUUGAUCAAAUACAUGAGUUACAAAUUAUUGUUGCUAAGCUUCGAGAGUUAAAAGUUGAAAUUUCUGAAUCAUUUCAAGUUGGGGCUAUUAUUGCUAAAUUGCCUCAAAGUUGGAAUGAUUAUAGAAAGAAACUCCUUCAUAGUAAAGAGAACAUAACUUUAGAAGAAUUGCAAAAACACUUGGUAAUUGAAGAAGAGACUAGGUCUCGCGAAUCCAAGGAUAAGCAUGAUUCUACUAAAGUUAAUGUUGUUGAAGCUAGUAAAUUCUCAAAGAAUUUUAAAGUCAAGAAUGACAAGAAAUUCAAGAAGUCCAGCACAUAAAAGUUUUCUGGAAAUUAUUUCUUUUGUGGUAAGAAAGGCCAUCGCCAAAGUGAUUGCAGAUUCAAGAAGAAAAAGGAAGAAGUGAAUUCCUAUAAAGCUAAUGUUAUUGAAAACAAAUCUGAAGAGAUUUGUGCUAUGGUUUCUGAAAUGCAAAUUGGCAUGAUUACCGAAACCAAUAUGGCUGAAACUAAGUCCUAUGAUUGGUGGCUCGAUUCGGGUACAACAAUUCAUGUUUGUAAUAAUAAGAAAAUUUUCUUAUCAUACAAAGAAGAAACGGAAGGACAAAUGGUUCUCAUGGGGAACAAUAAUGCAGCCAUAAUAGCAGGGAAAAGAGUAGUUGAGAUCAACUUCACUUCUGGAAAUAAAGUCACAUUGUAUAAUGUCUUUUAUGUACCUUCCGUUAGGACUUAUCUUAUUUCUGCUAGUUGUAUAUGUAAGCAUGGGCUUAAGAUUGUGCUUGAGGGUAAUACUUGUAUUCUCUCAAAGGGUAUUCUUGUGAUGGAAUGUACAAACUCAACAUUAAUAAUAAUAAUAUCAAGUUAGCUUAUAUUGUUGAGUCUUGAGAUGUUUGGCUUGCUAAAUUAGCACAUUUGAAUUUUAGAUCUUUGAAAUACAUGUCUGAGCAUGGUUUGAUUAAUUGCAAUGAUGUUAAAGGUCAUAAGUGUGAAAUUUGCAUCCAAGCUAAAUUAACUAAGAAACAUUUUCUUAAAGCCGAACGAAAUACUCAAAUAUUGAAUUUAAUACAUAUCGAUAUUUGUGAGUAUAAUGGCGUUUUAACAAGAGGAGGUAAAAAGUACUUUUAUCACUUUUAUUGAUGAUUGUUCUAGAUACACUUAUGUGUAUUUACUUAGAACAAAAAAUGAAGCUUUUGAUAAAUUUAAAAUUUUCAAAGCUGAAGUUGAGAACCAAAAAGAUAAGAAAAUCAAAGUGGUUCGUAGUGAUAAAGGUGGUGAAUAUUUCUCAAUUGAAUUUAAUAAUUAUUGUGAAGAAUUUGGAAUUAUUCACCAAAGAUCAGCUCCAUUUACUCCUCAACAAAAUAGUUUGGCUGAAAGAAAGAAUAAGAUCUUCACGGAUAUGAUAAAUUCCAUGAUCCUUAAUGCAAAACUACCAAAUAAUUUGUGGGGGGAAGCAUUACUCACUGCAUGUCAUAUUCAUAACAGAAUUACAUCUUUGAAAACACAUGUAUCUCCUUAUGAAAUUUGGAAAGGAAGAAAACCAAACUUGAUGUAUUUAAGGGUUUGGGGUUGUUUAGCUUUUUAUAAAAUACAUGAUCCUAAAUCAUCAAAGUUAAGUGCUAGAUGUAUAAAGAGUGUUUUCGUAGGAUAUGCUGAAAAUUCCAAGGCUUAUAGGUUGUUAGAUUUAGAUUCUAAUGUGAUUGUGAAAUCUAGAGAUGUUGAAUUUAUUGAGAAUAAAUUUCAACAUGAUUCUAAUAUUGAAUUAGAAUCAAUUAUUGAUCAACCAUAUGUUAAUACUCCUAUUACCUCCACUAACAAUAAUAAAAGGAAAGACUCUAUGACAUCUUUCGAACCAAUGAGGAGUCAACGUGAAAAAAAAGAAAAGAGUUUAGCUCCGGAUUUUAUUUCAUCACAAGCACUACUCUUCUUGGUUGAAGGGGAUAGAAAGAAUGUACUUAACAAAGUACCAUUGUUGUUAAAUAUUGAAAAAGAUCCAAAGACAUUUAGCGAGGCUAUGUCUUCUAGAGAUGCUUCUUUUUGGAGAGAGGCGGUAAAUGAUGAAAUGGAUUCGAUUAUUUCGAAUCAAACAUGGGUCUUGGUUGAUCUUCCUCCAGGAUCUAAACCAAUUAGCAGCAAAUGGGUAUUUAGCAGAAAGUACAAUAGUGAUGGUUUUUUGCAAACUUUUAAGGCUAGAUUAGUAGCCAAAGGGUUUAAGCAAAGAAAUGGUAUUGAUUAUUUCGAUACAUAUGCUUCGGUAGCAAGGUUAACUUCUAUAAGAGUGCUAUUUGCAAUUGCUUCAUUGAACAAUUUGUAUGUGCAUCAAAUGGAUGUUAAAACCGCUUUUUUUAAUGGUGAUCUUGAUGAAGAAAUCUAUAUGGAACAACAUGAGGGAUUUGUUUUGCCAGGAAAUGAGAAAAAGGUAUGUAAGUUAGUCAAAUCACUUUAUGGUUUAAAGCAAGCACCAAAACAAUGGCAUGAGAAGUUUGAUUCGGUAAUUUUAUCUCAUAGUUUUAAGCAUAAUAAUGCUGAUAAAUGUAUAUAGUUUAAAUUUACGAAUGAUUUUGGUGUGAUUAUAUGCUUGUAUGUUGAUGACUUGCUUAUCUUUGGAACAAAUAUGCAAGGAGUAGAUGAUACAAAGAAGUAUUUAACUUCACAAUUUAAGAUGAAAGAUCUUGGUGAAGUAGAUAUUAUCUUAGGUGUCAAAGUGAAGAAAUAUAGUAGGGGUUACUCGUUGUGUCAAUCUCAUUAUAUAGAGAAAGUGCUUCUUAAAUUCAAUUAUUUGAAAUUUAAAGAAGCUAAUACCCCAUAUGAUUCUAGUAUUAAAUUAUUAGAGAAUUCAGGCCGAGUAGUAGCACAACUAGAAUAUGCUAGUGCUAUUGGUAGCUUGAUGUAUGCUAUACAUUGUACGAGGCCUGAUAUAGCAUUUACAGUUUGCAAAAUGUCAAGAUUCACGAGUAACCCUAGUGUUGAACACUGGAAAGCAAUUGGUAGAAUACUUGAUUAUCUUAAAAGGACCAUUAAUUUGGGUUUGUUUUAUAGUGAUUAUCCUGAAGUACUGGAAUGAUAUUCAGAUGCUAGUUGGGUAACCAAUACAAGAGAUAAUAAAUCCACUUCUGGUUGGAUUUUUACAAUUGCUGGAGGAGCGGUUUCUUGGGCUUCAAAGAAACAAACGUGCAUAACUCAUUCAAAAAUGGAAAGUGAGUUUAUAGCACUUGCAGUUGCAGGCAAGGAAGCAGAAUGACUAAGAAAUUUGUUGUUUGAUAUAAUGUUGUGGCCACAACCGAUGCCAUCUAUUUCUUUGUACUGCGAUAGUGAAGCUACAUUGUCUAGAGCUUAUAAUAAAGUGUAUAAUGGAAAGUCUAGACAUAUUAGCUUGAGACAUGAAUAUGUGAAACAAUUAAUAGCAGAUGGUGUUAUUACUAUUGUUUAUGUUAGGACUAAUAAGAACCUAGUGGAUCCUUUAACAAAAGGUCUUACAAGAGACUUAGUUAAGGAUACAUCUUUUGGAAUGGGAUUGAAACCUUUAAAUAAUAAAGUCACCAACGACGGUAACCCAACUAUGUAGUAGUUGUACCGCUACUCCAUAGUUAAAUGGGUAAUAACAAGUUGUUGUUAUGUGACUAGUUUGGCACCAAGUAAUAAAUAAUCACAUUCGAGAUAUUCGGUGCAAAUAACUACGAGGUUGAGGUUGAGUAUUUACUUUUAAUGAAGUUCAAGUCUUAUAGUAGCUAAAGACAUGAUUUGAAACUUCACUUAAGUGAACAUAAGAAAUGGUGCCGUUUCUAACAAGAUCAUGGUUUAAUCUAGUAAAUGUUCAUGAAUCCAAGAUAGAGCACAAGGCCGAAAUAGUGCUAAAUAUUGGAACACAACUUUGAAAAUCUGGGAUAGCUUGUGAUGUAUCUCCGGUAUUUACUUAAGAGACAAAGUUUAAUGCUUAGCACACUAUUGUCUUGUAAAUGCUUUGAAAUACACUCACUAAUUAAAGGUUAAAAUCGAAAGAUAUCUUUUUGUAUGUAUAAGUUUAUCAUUAAUAAAUCUGAAAAAUAUUACAAUCUAGUGGGGGAUUGUAAGAGAGAUUGUAACAUUUUCAAUCUUUGGUUUGAUAUUCUGAAAGAAAACGGUUUGUCGUUUAUGGAGAAAAUGGCUAACCGUUUAAUUCCAGAGAGCAUGUUUUCUGUUCUAGAGAAAACGGCUAACCGUUUGGAGAAAAUGGCUAACUGUUUAAUUCCAGAGAGCAUGUUUUUUGUUCUAGAGAAAACGACUAACCGUUUAGAUAAAACGGCCAACCGUUAAUUACAGAGAGCAACUUAUUUGACAUUCUGGAAUAAAAAGGCUCACCGUUAUUGAGAAAACGGCUAACCGUUUAUUUCCAGAGAGCGUGUUUUUUGCGUCAACUGGAAAAACGGUUAGCAAGCUUGGAAAUUUCAAUUGUCAAUCGAUGCAAACUCAAAACAAAAGAGUGUUUUUUUGAAGAAGUACAAUUUCUAAUGGUUGUAUUCUUUCAAAUAAACAUCUUCUUUAUUAAAGAUAGACAAACAAUUAGAUCAUAAUCAGAUUUUGCAGGUUUCAUAUAUGUUAUGGAAAUACAAUCUUAUUUGCUAGAGAUUGUAUUCAGGAUUUGAUAUAUCUUGGGGGUAAUUUGCCAUUAAAACUCUAUAGCAAACCAAGAUUGGUGAGGGCAAAUAAAAUUUUAAAGGAAAGUGUGCAAACACGUCUCAAAUCCUAAUAAAUUUUUUUUGUUCUUUGCCUCCAUAUUCUUAAAAUUCGAAAAUUCACCCAUCAUAUACAUACUACAUAUUAUUAAUUUUUGUUUUAUAACUAUAGUUUUUUUUUUACCGCAGCUGUAGUUUAAAAACUACAGCACCUCAAUCCCAAAAAAGACCUUAGUGGAAUCGAGCGCAAAAGCCGAUCACCCAACAUUCGCGCUUGUGAGAGACUCCACUCUCUCCACUCCUUCCAAAUCCAAAAUCCUCGACCGUUUCAAAAAUCUCGGCGUCAAUUUAGUUCCUGUGCGCCACUCUUUUAGCUUUCCAAUUUUCCCGCCAAUUUGCUUUUAUUGUGAUUAAUUAAUUAAUUAAAGUAAAGAUUUUAUAUUAUAAUUUUGUUUGCAGGGAGAUCUAUACAGCCAUGAGAGCUUGGUGAGUGCAAUAAAGCAAGUGGAUGUGGUGAUAUCAGCGAUAGGUCGCACUCAAUUAGUUGAUCAACUCAACAUUAUCGCAGCAAAUUGCGAUAACUAAUUACUUGGGAUUUUAAAGAAGCUGGAAAUGUUAAGGUACUGAUUAACCUAAGUAAAUGCGUUAACUAAUUACUUGGGAUUUCAAAUUCAAAUGCGUGAAUUGUUCUCAAAAUUGAUAUAUGUUUAUUAGUCAGAGAUUCUUUCCUUCAGAAUUUGGAAAUGAUGUUGAUCGCGUGCAUGCCGUUGAGCUAGCAAGAACAUCAUUUGCCACCAAGGCUAAAAUCCGCCGAGCUGUUGAGGCUGAAAGAAUUCCAUACACCUACGUAGCUUCCAAUUUCUUCGCUGGUUUGUAUCUUUCCAGUUUCUCACAGCCUGAAGCCACAGCUCCUCCAAGGGAUAAAGUGGUCAUCGUAGGUGAUGGAAAUGCAAAAGGCAAAGCGCUUCUGGAUACAUUUACUCUGUACACGCAAUGUGUGGUUACUGUUUGGAGAUAAAAAAGGAGAUUAAUUAAUAAAGAAAAUGAAAUUAUUGAGGGAUUUGCUGAAGAGUUGCGUGCACUCCUCAUUUUUCUCCACCACUCAUCUUACUUGCAAAAUGCAAUGACCAAACUAUCCUCGCCAAAGCCUAGACAUUUACUUGUGUUCAAAGGCCAUUUAAGGGAGACAAGUACAAAAAAUUAUAAAGGAUAGUGAGCAAAAGAAGAAAAUGGAAGGAGGGGAGAAUAAAAAAGGGGAGUGGGGCGUUAUCUAGGCAGGAUUUUUAUUUUUAUUUUUUUCCUCUCUUCUCCAUGGCAUCUCUUUCUCUCUUUCUCCCACUAAGAAAUUCUUUCUUUUACACUCUAUUUUAUUUUUCUGCAAAUUAUGCAAAAAACUUUUGGUUUUAAGGCAAUAUUUAUUAAGCCACAUGAACUUAAAAAAGCAUGAAUAAGGGGAUGAUUUUAACACAUUAAUUCACCAACAUUAAUUGGAAAAGAUCAGUUGCCACUACGAAUCAGAGUAAUUUCUUCGGCAAUAGCCAAAUAUUGAUAUUUGAUCUUGACACUAGAGUUAAAUGAAUGUAACUGGUUUUGUCAUUUGAUCCCCAGCAUUUUUUAACAAGGAAGAUGAUAUUGGAAUCAAUUCUAUCAAAGCGGUGGAUGAUCCAAGAACACUGAACAAAAUACUUUACAUCAGACCCCGUUGCAGUAUCUACUCAUUCAAUGAUCUUGUGUCUCUGUGGGAGGAAAAGAUUGGCAAAGCCCUUGACAGGGUCUAUGUUACAGAGGAACAACUUCUGAAAAACAUUCAAGGUUAGUUAGAACUAUCACUUUAUCAAGUGGAUAGAUGUAACUGACCGAUAAUGGAAAAUUUUUUCCUUCUCCAAAAUGCGAUAGAAUCUAAUCGGUUUCAACAAUCUCAAGAACAUCUAUUCCUGGUUGUGUUGUUUGAAAUCUGUAUGUAUCAGUUUUCUUUCUAGAUCUCAGAUUGCUCGCAAGGAUGUCAAGUUUUGAUGAUGCUUGCCUCUUUUCCUGUGUUUACAGAAGCUUCAUAUCCACUCAAUAUGCUAUUACCUAUUGGGCACUCUGCCUAUGUCCUGGGAGAUCAGACCAACUUCGAAAUUGAACCUUCAUUUGGAGUAGAGGCAACAGAGCUUUAUCCAGAUGCCAACUACACUACUGUGGAUGAGUACCUCAACCAGUUCAUAUAAACCUUCUGAGAUGAGCAGCAGGAUCCUAACCAAAAAUUGGGUGGUUUCCAUCCCUGAUUCUAUAGUAUAAAGAUAGCGGCUUUCCCUGCUUUUGCCAGUUCAAUGAAGUUUGUUAGAUGAUGUUAUUUAUACUAUACUAGCAAAGAUCAAGUUGCCUUUCUUGUCAAGAAGCCAAGCUCUGGCAUUGGUUUAUGCUAGUUUUUCACACUAAUAUUGGUAUUCACUAAUUUUUUUUUUUUUCAUUUCACACCUCCAUCAUCAGUUGAGAUACCCUCUUGUAUGGUACUAACUUUGAUUUUCCUUAUGCUUCACUUGCUGUCUCUGCAGAUUCGUAAAAGAUCAUUUAUGGAUAAGAUCAUAACAUCAAUAUGAUACAGUAUGCAUUGAGAACUCCCACAUGAGUCUUGUUCUAGUUCUGGUUAGACAUGAAACAUGUUACAGUUCCAUAACUUGAGACAUUGUCAUUCAACAAUUAGCAUCGCAUUAAAACAGUGGCCAAUCCCUAACAGCUACCUUUUGACUCUUCACAUUUUUUUUCUGCAUUUUAUGCGUAUUAAUUAUCCAGACCUAUACUUACUCUUCUCAGCUUGGCCCGUUGGACAGUGAGUGAUGAAACAGAAAAUUUUUCAUGUUUAUUACUUUUCUUGCAUUCAAAAUGAUAAAACCGAAGAGGUUGUUGCAUGCACGUCAUUUGUUAGUAGGGGUAUCAAUUUAUGAACGUAUGAAGUAUCUCUUCUGCACUGGCAUCCUCCUUAACUGUCAGUAGGAUCACAAUAAGUCGACCAACCAUCUACCGUAUGGAUUAUCUAUAAAUUGAAAUUGGUGUGUAUUAUGGAUCUGUCACUCUGCUGCUUCUGUUUUCUUUUCUAUUUUUACCAAGAAAGAAACAUUGUUAAAACUGAAUGGUUGUUAUCUCGUCUUGUUGUAAUGUUGUGUAUGCUUUCUAGAAAAUAAUGAAGUGCCAAAUAUGAAAAUACUAGUGGCUACCUUACCAUCCUUAAUAAGUUGUCUGAUUGUCACCGUCAACAAUCACUCUCAGCAACUCAUAAUCCAUUUAAGCAUAUUAUAAAAUAAUCAAUUUUGUAUUUGCACCAACUUUUAGUUUUAAAUGACAAUUUCGUUGAUCCCCACACUUCUGUACUAAUCAAAUCCACUGAAACUGGACUUUUUUUUCUUUUUUUUUAUAAUUACAUCGAUUGCAUUGGCUAUUGCAGGGAAAAGACUGCCUCUACAGGGAACUAAACUUUCAGAAUUGUUCUUAUGAGGGUUUGAAUAUGCUCUCCUACUAGGUCAAUGGCCUAUUGGUUCGAGACCAUUCACAAAGAAAGAAAUGAGUUUUGCUUGUAUAAAUGAAAGAAAUCCAAAUGAUAACUAAUGUAUAGUGGUACAUGAGAAAAAUAAUUUCAGCCCUUGUGUAAAGUCAAAAAGAGAAAAUAUUAAAAGAAAGGAUAAUGUCAUUGAGUUGGUGAAGUGAAAGAAAAUGAAAAACAUGGGAUUUAGUCAAACUUAGUGUCCCAAUCAGCAGAAAAAGGUUUUAGAAACUCACCUCAAGUUAAGCCAACUAUUAGGAGCUUUAUUUAACCAUAGUUGCCUCAACAAUGACUGAUUCUCUUCCCCCCACCCACAUUGUAGCUUUCUAAUGUAUAGUACUCCAAUACUAAACGGGGGCUACCUCUACGCUUGCAAAUGUAAAUGAAAUUGAGUUCAUGACGCACAAUGAAGUGAGCAAAAUGAGUUGAGAUCUGAGAAUAUAUUAAAGAAAAUAUGAACCGAUGAAUUUUGGUUAAAAAAAAAAAUGCCGGUUCUUCAAGACCUGCGUGUAUUGCGUAAAUUUUGUUAGGAAAAGGAAAGCAUUUUGUCUAAAACGCACUAAAUCAGAUUCAUUUGCUUGAUAUCUAAUAAGGGUGAAUUAACCACUCGGCCAUAGCAAUUAGGGGUGGGCAAAAUACCCGACCCGACCCGAUUCGAUUCGAAAAAAAUCGGGUUCGGAUCGGAUCGGGUUGUAAAGAAAACCCGAUCGGGUGCAUUUGUGUCAACCCAAUCGGAGCAUGAUCGGAUCGGAUCGGGUUGACCCGAUCGGGUUGACACAAAAUAAAAAAAAAAUUAAACCUCAAAUACACACCCCACACACACAGGAACAUAUAUACGCCACACACACUAGAACACACACGCUGGAACACAUACACACCACACACACUGGAACACAUUACACAUACACACCACCCACGCACUGGAACACACACAUUGGAAUACACACACUGGAACACACACACACCACCCACGCCCUGGAACACACACACCACGCCCCCCACGCACUGGAACACACACACUGGAACACGAAGUGAACACCACACACACUGACACACCCACAGCCCCCUGCCGACCAGCAACAUAAUCGCCCACACCCACCCACAAGCCACAGCCUCCCUCUCUCGCAUCCCACUAUCGACGGAAACAAGCGACAGUUAUACAGCCCACUCCAACCGAGGCUACUCCGUGAGAAUGGUGACCCGAUCUACUGAUCUACUGCUACCAAGUACCGGAUCUGCUGCGCCACCUCCACGCCUCCAAUCCUCCGCCAUCACCCGAUCCGAUUCAAGCUCCAUUUGUCUGUUGAGUUUUGAAAGCUUUGGGUUGUUGCUGUAAAUGUGUAGAUCGUGUGUGUGUAAAUGGGUAGAUUGUGUGUAUUUUUUAUAUCCGACCCGAUCCGAUCCGAAUUAUAUUCGGAUCGGGUCGGAUCGGGUUAUAGAUUCGGGUUGAAUUCGGAUGAGUUCUCAUCUAACCCGACCAACCCGAAACCCGAUCGGGUUGAUCCGAACCCGAUUUUACCCACCCCUAAUAACAAUUCAAAUCCCCACAAAAGUAUUAUGGGGGCUAAUUUUCUUCUUUAAUUAUAACAAAUAAUUGAGCGGAGGAUAAGAAUCGAACUGAAAAACUAAAAAAAAUGAAUCCGGCGAUAUUUGCGAACCGGAAACGAGCCAGCGUUAUGCUUAUGUCAUUUCAGAGAUAUCAACAGUCGUGCUUUCAGUCCUUAAACCUAGAAACAUUAUGGCUUUUCUCCUUAAACCUCAAGGGCAUUUUCAUCCUUUCACUCAAGCGUGAAACUGCAUGUAAGCACUGCUUCGCUUACACGCUCCAUGCACAUUUAAAGGCACCACUGUCGGAUAAAAAAUAUCUAUCCAUUUGAUCAUUUCAAAACAAAACGAAAAAAAAAAAAAAAUCUCAGGAAUUGAACUGAACGAGUCUCAGAAAUGGCAUCGAAAAGUAAGAUUCUAUUCAUCGGCGGGACAGGGUAUAUCGGUAAAUUCACUGUCGAAGCGAGCGUAAAAGCCGGCCACCCGACGUUCGUGCUCGUGAGAGAAUCCACAAUCUCUGGUCCUUCCAAAUCUCAACUCCUCGAUCACUUCAAAAACCUCGGCGUCAAUCUCGUCAUAGUGCGUUUUCAUUUUUCUCUUUUCUUAAUUUUUUAUUCCGAUCAUUUUUACACGUCGAAGUGUAGCAUCUACUACUUAAUAUACAUAAUGAUAUUAUUAUUUUUUAAUUUUUUUGGGUUGCUGUUAUUAUUAUGCAGGGAGAUGUGUUGAAUCACGAGAGUUUGGUGAAGGCGAUUAAACAAGUGGACGUGGUGAUAUCAACGGUCGGUCACACUUUAUUAGCUGAUCAGGUCAAGAUUAUUGCUGCCAUUAAAGAAGCCGGUAACGUUAAGGUAUAGCAUAAUUAAUAUUGUCAAUAAAAUUAAAAUAAUUAAUUAUAAACCAAUGGCAUGGACGCAAUUAAUUAAUUGAUGUUGAAUGUGAUUAUUAUUAUCCAGAGAUUCUUCCCUUCAGAAUUUGGAAAUGACAUUGAUCGAGUCCACGCCGUUGAGCCAGCAAAGUCUUUAUUUGCCAUAAAGGCGAAAAUCCGCCGAGCCGUUGAGGCUGAAGGCAUUCCGUAUACUUACGUAGCAUCGAAUCUCUUUGCUGGUUACUUCCUUCCCAAUUUGUCGCAGCCUGGGGCCACUGCCCCACCUAGGGAUAAAGUUGUCAUCUUAGGCGAUGGAAAUCCAAAAGGUAUGAAUUUAGGUCAUUGCUUAUAGCAAAACUGUUGAAAUAACCAUGAUUAAGGCUCCGUUUGUUACUACGGUGUUAAUUUUAUGGCCUAAAAUUGCUGUAGAAUGGAAGGUGUUGCAACCUAACUUACGCUCUGUUCGGUGUGGUUGUUGCAUAGCUGUAACUUAAAGUUAACUGAAAAGUGUUUGAUGAAUAUUUGCAGACUUAACUUUAAACCGAGGUGAUUUUAUCCAACAUUUGUCUGAUUAAAACUUAUGAUCCCUAAGAAGUUUGUCAAAAAAAAUAUAUAUAUAUGUAUAUAUAUUCAAUGGAGCACCUCAAUACUAAAUGAAUCCAUGUAUUCAACUUUGGAUAGACUUUUAAAUAAUGACCAAACACUUUAGCUGUUAAAUUGCCACAUCACAGCUGCAACACAAUAAUUCCAAACGUCUUCAUUGCAAAAUAGUUGAAUGAAUCUAAGUCCACUGGCUUCGUCAUUUGAUUUUCAGCGAUCUAUAACGAGGAAAAUGAUAUUGGAACCUACACCAUCAAAGCGGUUGAUGAUCCGAGAACCUUGAACAAAAUCCUUUACAUUAAACCCCCUGGUAAUAUUUACUCAUUCAAUGAUCUUGUGUCCUUGUGGGAGAGAAAGAUUGGCAAAACCCUCGAAAGGGUGUACCUUCCGGAGGAGCAAGUCCUAAAGAAUAUUCAGGGUUAGCUAUAAUUCUUACUUUUUAAAUUUUAUCAAAGAGAGCAAUAAAUUUUGUGCCUUAUUGAUACUGUCUUCCCGAAAAUGUUGCAGAAGCUGCACCAGCUGCACCUCCAGUCGACGUGAUAUUAUCAGUUCAGCACUCUGUUUUCGUGAAGGGAGAUCAAACCAACUUCGAGAUUGAACCAUCGUUUGGAGUUGAGGCGUCGCGGCUUUAUCCUGGUGUCAAAUACACUACAGUUGAUGAGUACCUCAAUCAGUUUGUGUAACCCUACUCUGCUGAGCUGCAGCUUGCGGGACCUUAGGAAAUAAAUAAUUGGCUUGUUGCCAUCUUAAUUUUAUAUAUAUAUAAACAUUAUGGUUGUUGGUUGUUGGCCUUUCUUUUGGUUUUCGAUGGAAUUUGUAACACCAUAUUAUGCCCGCUACGUGAGUACACCAGUGAUCAAGUAAAGUAGCCCUAUGUGCUUGAUAUAAAAUAAUUAUAAAGUCAGAAACACCUAGAAAUUAAAAGGUAAUUCAUCAACAUUUGUCACGUAAAAUUUACUUUAUGGAAGAGAGAUUCCAGGAACCAACUUUAUGAGUGAGAAAAGUGUAAAAAUCCAAGAUAUAUGAGAAUCAAUAAUGAUAUAACCAUAAAUUAUUGUACAAAUCUUUUUAUACAACCUGAGUUGGCAGCUGAUGGGUACUAACCACGUCACUUAGUUAAAUCACCCCAAGUUAACGGCGUAAAAGCUUUUUUUUUUCCUAUUUUCCUAUUUCUCCCAUUCACGUCUUCGCGAGCUCCUUGGGCGACGGCUCCAACAUCUCUCUCUUUUGCCGGCGACAAUCUUUGCUGGUUUCGCUCUAUUUUACGACAACAAUCUUCCUAUGCCAUCGAAUUUUUUUUGGGUAUGUCCUAUAAGAUUUUAUUUUUAGAUCUAAAACUAAUAAUAUUCAUUAGAUUAAACCAGUCGAAGUUAUCAAAACUUCAACAAAAUCCACAAAGGAGAGAGAGAAAGUAAAGAAAUUGAAAUAAUAAUAAUUAUUAUUUCCUAUUCUAUUUAGAUAUUUGUCUCAUCUUUCGGCACUUUCUCUUCAAUCUCCUCGUGCGCUUCUUCUUGCACUUGGCUCUCAUGGUGAUUGGGCUGUAAAGAUUAACAAAUUCUCUCUCAGUGGCCUUCGGAAUCAUGGGUGAAAAUCGGUAUGUCCUAUAAGAUUGCUUGAUUGAGAGUGUUUUCAAUUUUCUUCAAAUUGCGGUUGGUUUUUUGUUUAACAUAGCAAAAGCGGAUUCAAUCCCCCCCCCCCCCCCCCAAACAAAAGACUCAAAUUCAAUUAGAAAAAAAUCGAAAUAAUAAUGGCACAUCAUGGAAGAUUGUAAAGAAAAUACCCUUAAACUAUCUGGCAAUUUUAUAGACAAACCGAAAAAAAAAUAUGGUGGCAAAGGAAGAUUGUAAACGAAGAGCCGAAGUCAUAAAAGGAGCCCGCGAAGUCGUGAAGUCAGAGAAACAGAAAAACAAAAAUUAAAAAAGAAUGCUUUUUAUUUGAAUUUAUAAACCGUAUAGGUUUAACUCCGUUAGCUUAGGUUUACUUACCUUGAUGAUGUGGCCAAAGCCAUGUCAGUUGCCAAUUUAAGUUGUAUAAAAAAAAUUUAUACAAUAGUUUGUGGCUGUAUCAUUAUUGUAUAAAAAUAUAAGGGCCAGACCAUGUUGCAUUAAAUUCAUGAGUUGUGUCUCAUGAUAAUUAUUUCACAUGUUGCCAUUCUUUAAUUUUGAAUAACAACAAUACUACAUGUUACAUAUAAUUUAACAUAGUAUGACCUAUUUUCUAAUAUUAUUUUAAUUGAUUUGAAAUUCUGGAAUUAAAAAAUUGAAAAAAAUGGACCGAGCAUUGUUAUGAACCAAAAACAAGCCAGUAUUAUGCUUAAAUCAUUUCCUUGCACAGGAAAACUUAUUCAUAAUCAUAAUGGUAGGAUCAAUUAAUUUUAUUAUUAUGUAAAGGUUAUAACUUAAUAAAAGUAUAGUUACAAAAAUUAUUAUUUUAACUUAAUCAUCUUUAGUGCGAUUGAUGUAGAGAUAAAAAUAUGCACUAUAUUGAUAAUUAAUUAAUGUAGCAUGUCAUAUUCAAUUUACAGAUGACGACAAAAGAGAUAGACAUACUCUUAGAAAAAUAGUGCAUAUAUCUACGUAGUGUUGGAAUUAUACAAAGUUAUCUUGAAAGUCUAAAAAAUAAAUCAUUAUCCCAAAUAAUUUUAGAAAAAUAUUUUACUCUUUCUUAAACCUUUAAUAUAACACAACAUAUAUAUUUUUACAAUUUAUUGAUAAUUAUUACUAUAUAGAGGUAAGUUUUUUAAAACUGGAUUUAGAAAAAUUAUAAGUUAUUAUAAUGUAGAAUUUCUUACUAUUUAGCUUGACAAUGAAUGUUGUGCUUGAGCCAUACCAAGCUCAAGCCCUACCCAACCCUAUGACUAAAAUGAAAGGUCUUAACCCUUAAAAUACCCGACCCUUCAAACCAUGGAAUAGGCUUGGGCUUUAUCCAAGACCGGCCACAAUUUUUUUUUUUUUUAGAAUAGAACUCUUAUUUUCCAUUCUUUAGUAAUAAUAUUAUAUUAUUAUUGUUUCUUUUUUGUUGAAUCUUUUGUAAGGAAUUUAAUACAUUAUUUUGUUAUUUUACUUUAACAAUAAUACAACAUCUAACAAUCUAACCAAAUUAACAUAUUAACCAAACUAACAAGUAAAUAAACUUAGGGUAUAGUUGUAAUUGCGUUUGUGGCAUGUGUGUUUUAAUAACUUUUAAGUAAUACAUUUUUUAUUUCAAAAAUUAAUUUAAGAUUCAUGAGUCAGAUAAGAAUUUUUUUUUUGAUAAAACCUAAAUCUUUAUCUAAAUAUAAUUGUGCUUUGAUUCCUUAAUCUUAGAGUUUUAUUAAAAAAAUAAACCCCCUCUUCUUAUUUUAUUAUAUAUAUAUAUUUGUUUUUGUACGCAUAUCUAUAAAACUAUAAAAUGUUGAGAUAAUGUUUAGAUUAGGUUGGGAGGUGGGGAUAGUUGACAUGUGUUUUUAAAUAUGUGUGUUUUUUUUCUCUUUUCUUUUUCUUUUUAAAUAAUAAUAAUAAUAAUAAUAAUAAUUUUUUGUCUAUGAUGGUUGUGUAAAGACUCACGACUUUUGAGACGCAUUCUAAUAGUAUGUUGUAUUAUAUUUUGAUUUUAAAAUUCAUAGUAAGUUGUUUUUGUUCCCUUUUUCUUUGAAUUACUCAAAUUUAUAAACUCUCCAAUUUGUUAUUAAGUCAUUUAAUUGUUUACUCAUUUAACAGGUAUUAUUGAAUCAUUCUUCACACACGCACUAUGACACAUACUAGUGGGUUGUAAGUUAAAAGUGAUGCAGCAUUUAGUUCUUUUGAUUUAUUAGGGAUAAUAUCUAAGAUAGUAAAAAGUGUAUAUUGUAUAUUUGAAUGUGUUUAAUUUUGCUAUAUGUAGAACUCGAGUAAUUAAGUCUGUAGGGGUGUUUCAACACCUAAGGUCAAUUGGUCUGGGAGUCGUUGGCAUAAAGCUCGCUCAUGAGUUAUAGAUAUAUUGUUUGCUUAUUAGAAAUCCGAGUAAUUAAGUCCUUAAGGGUGUUUCAACACCUAGUGCCCUAGGCCGACUGAUCUGUGAGUCACUGGCUUAAAGCUCGCUACAUGGGUUAUAAAUGUAAUGUUUUAAAAUUCAUGUGAAUAAUCUACUACCUAAAGAUAGAAUUUCUAAUGAAUUUUGGAGCGAAAAUGUUGUUUUUUUCUUUUAAUUACUUGAGUACAAAAGAAGUUUGAUGAUAUUCUAGAUAAUGAGUAAAUGACAAAGAGGUAAAGAAAUUUGGGAGAGUUUAUUUGUUUGAUAGUUUAGAGGAUAGACAAACAAUUAUUAACUUACAUUUGAAUUUUAUAAAUCUUAAUUUAAUAUAGUGCUUUUAUUGCUAGCGGCUAGAAAUAAGUUGGUUGGAAGGUGUGAUUAGUAUUAAAAAUUGUUUGCUUAUCAAGUGAUAAAACUAUUAUUUUGUGCCUAUAUUAUAAUUUAUAUUUGUGUUUAUGCAAUAUAUUAGGAAUUAUUAAUUAUGUCUUAAUUAUAUUUAAUUUUAUGUAUUUUUGUAUGUUUAUUAGGUAAAAUAUUAAAUUCGUGUAAUUCAAGACGCCAAACAGAUAAACAGAUGACAAAUUUGGAUUCCGAAGGUCCGAAAAAUUUAAGAUGAGUCAAAACCAGCUUAAAAUUGAGGUUGUGCAAAAAAGUUGACUUUUCUUAUUGACCGAACACUAAUUGGAUGAUAAAAUGAGCUUACAAUAGAUAUGAGUACACUAGAUAGCCGGCAAUUUUGACUAAAUCUCAACCGUUCAUAAUUCAAUGGCCACAAUUGUGCCACGUGGUAAUGGUUGGUGAAGCAAGUUGUAGGAUCCGAAUCUUUGUAUUUGGGUCGACCCGAUCCACCCAUUAACCUGCCAAAUCUCAACCGUUCUUUGGCCAAAUCGGAUGCGUCACAUGAUGCCACGUGUAAUGUUGACUUUUGAAGUUUGACCAGUGUUGGUUAAUUUUAAACUCAAUUGCUAUUGAUGCCAAUGUGCAAGUAUACACAACAAGUAAUAAAGUUAUGAGUAUUUAAGAUCGUCUCCACAGGGAUUGAUGUUACUAAAAAUGUUACAGCAAUCACAAUAGCGCUAUCUAUCUUAAUUUCAAGAUGAAUAAAUUUAAAGUUGUUUACUCCGAAAUUAACAAUUGUAAAGAAAUCAAACAAAUAACUGCAAUAGUAAAAUAAACUAAGUAAAUCGCGUAAAAGAAUCAAUUGAGAAUGAGGUAGUUGAAUGAUCAAACUCUCUUCAUGGGCUGAUUGCUUUUCAUCAGAUUAACACCAGUUGCUAUAACAAUUCCUACAGCACUGGGCAGAAUUAUUUUGCAUCCUCAGCUGUCGCGUGUUGGACUUCUCAUACCUUUAAGUAUCCUAACAAUGACCAGUUGUUAUUCUACAUGAGGCAUGGCAUUGUGAACAUCCAUUCUAUCAACCCUACAAGGUGAAUGACUAUAUCUAGUUCUUCACAAAUCUUAACUUCAAGUAUAGUCCUUAUGGGAUUCAAGCUAAACUUAAUCCAGGAAACUCAAAUUAAGAUAAAGUAUUACUCUAAUAAUAUCCACUAAGACAGUCCUUUUUGCGGCUCUAUCUUAACUUGAACCAUUAAAUAAGUGGUCAGCCGAAAUAACAGUUAUAAUAAUAGCUACUAGAAUAAAAUGCUAUAGCAAUCAUACAACAACUCAUAAGAACAGUCAAAAACUCAUUCCGAUUGUUUGUCACCCAACUACAAGCAAGUUAAGUUCAUACUUUGAAAAAGAUAAACAAACACCAAACUAAUGGUCACGAAAUACAUUGGUCCAAUCAAAGAGUAGAGAAAAGAACAAGUAAAGGAUGAUGAAGACUAAAUCCAAAUAACUCUAUUAGAUUCUUCACUGAUGCAGACUUGGUUCCCUUGAUUUCUGAUUGUUUUCCUCUUUCCCUCUUGAUUUCUCAAUGUUAAUUCCUUGCCGUCAUUUUAUGUGAUGCGCGCCUCCUUUUAUAACUGAAAAUUAGGGUAAGCAAAAGCCUAGGACGCGCGAGAGUCAAAUUAGGAAACUAUAGAUCGCAAUCUUGCAGAUUUCCCGUGCUAAGUUUUCUCUAUCGUUGUUCCAGAAUUGCCACAGCAAUGGCUACUCCAACAACGACUCUAGCACUGUACUGCUUCAGAUUUGGUUUCACUUCUUUUGUGGCCAUAUUCUUCAUCUUUUGUGCCAGCCUAUUGCUUCCACAUUCUUUCCCUGAAUCAUAAGCUUCUGGAAACCUACGAUUUUGCACACAAUUUGAUCACAAAUUAAUCUAAAUCAAGUAAAAUUUAUUAAGACUAAAAUAAAAUGAAUGUUUAUGCAAAAUGUAACAAAAAUGCAAUAAAAACACAGCAUUUGCUCUCUAAGUAAUCUUGUUUUCAGUCUAGAAUUGCCGUAAUAACUCUCAUUUCAUAGAGUUAUCAACCAGCCAUUAGAUCGUGAUCUAAUGGCUGUGAGGAGCGCAUGUAUAAAACUUAUGAUGGGCCGCAAAACACUGGAUUAUGAAUUUAUUUUUCUAUAAAUAAAGCCUUAUUUUUAUGUUUUUUAUCAUCUCUCUUCUUCUCAAUUUCUCUCAAUCUCCCUAUGAUCUUGUUUUUCAGGUGUGUUUUUAAUAUUUUUCUUAAUUAUUUUUAUAAAUAAAUUUAGUUUUAUUUUCAAUUUUAGUUGUUUUUAUUCAUUUUAAUUAUGAGUAAUUUAAUUUUAAUAAUUCUUUUUAUUUCAAUUAUGCUUAACUAAAUAAUAAUAGUUAAAGUUUUACCUUCAUAUUCCUUCUUGUCUUGUCUCUGGGACAAGUUUCGUUUGUCUUGUCAUUAGGGCAAGUUUUAUCAGUGGUCAUUCUAUCCAUUUUUUUCUUCUUUUACUUUGCAAUGGCCAAUAAUGAGGGACAAUCAGAACUUGAUAUCAGUAAUGGAUAUGCUAGCAUGACCAUUGAUGAUGAGGAGGAUGGUGGGUUGAGUAUUGAAGGAGAAGAUGUAGAUGAAGGGAACAAGGUCAAGAUUGAUUACCGAUGUUGCUUGGUGGCAGAUUUCUGACGAAUAAGGUGAUUAAUUUUGCUGUUAUGAAGAACACAAUGGCUUCUAUUUGGCGGCCAGGAAAGGGUGUUUGCAUUAAGGAUUUAUCACCUACGCUUUUUUUAUUUAAAAUUUUCCAUGAGAUUGAUGUAAAUCGGGUAUUGGAGUCAGGACCAUGGAUUUUUGACCAGCACAUUCUGCUGGUUAAAAGGUUAGAGGAGAAUGAACAACCUCAGAUUGUUCCCUUAUUUUUUGCAUCUUUUUUUAUUUAAAUAUACAACCUACCCAUUGGCUUUAUGUCUAAAAUUUUUUUGAAGAAUAUUGGAAACUAUGUUGAUACUUUUUUGGAUUCUGAUGAGCAUAAUUUCAUGGGAGUGUGGAGUACCUAUAUGUGCAUUCGGGUAUCCAUUGAUGUUAGAAAGCUUCUUAAGCGUCGAAUGAAACUUUAAAAGGAGGGUGGAGAGUGGAUUUGGAUUGAAUUUAAAUAUGAACGAUUGAAUAUUUUAUGUUUCAUUUGUGGACUACUUGGGCAUACUGAAAAACAAUGCCUGAAGUUGUAUGAUUGCCCGUCGGGUGAGGUUGUGAAGGCUUAUGGUCAUUGGAUGAAAGCGCCGAACAAGAGGAGUCAGAUGAAUUCUGAUGAAAGGUGGCUGAGAUCGGAGAUGCCGAACGAGUUCAACAAUGGAAAAGGUAACAACGUGAAUUUUGCUGGUAUGGCGAUUGAUUCGGUUAUUAGCACAAAUCCUAGAGAUCAUGUGCUAAAAAUAAGGGAUUAUAGUGUCAACACAGGGAUUGCGGGGAUCAAUAAGGAAAGCAGUAUAUUGCUACCAAAUAGGAGCCAUUUGCGUAUCAAUGACAAGUCAACAAUGGGAAUCACUAAUGAUUUGUGCGGGAGUAAGGAUUUUGAAGAGGAACAAGAAGCUGGCAUUAUUGUUAAUGAUUCAAAGAGAAGACGAUCUCAAGUUGGGCCUCGUAGCACUGUGGGCCUUAAUGAUGAGUCAUCUACUCAAGUGAUGGAUAUAUCAGUUGAGCUAAAAAAUGGGCAAACGGUGGGACUUGUGACCUAGGCCCACCGAGAUAAAUAAGCAUGCUAAGCUGGAAUUGUCGUGGGCUGGGCCACCCAUGGACAAUUCAAGUUCUAAUAAACCUGGUCAGAUGUAAAAAACCUUCUAUAAUUUUUCUUAUGGAAAUUUUGUGUAGUAAAAAUAGAUUAGAGAGUAUCAAGUUAAAGCUGGGAUUUGAUGGGCUUUUUGUGGUGGAUUGUGUAGAACGUAGUGGUGAGCUUGCUCUUCUUUGGGAUGCCAGUACUAAUGUUUCUUUAUUGAGCUAUGCUAGAAAUUUUGUUGAUGUCCAUGUUGAGGUCUCUAGUUUGGGUGACUGGAGAUUGACUGGUUUCUACGGUUUUCCAAAAUCGUGUCGUCGUCGCCAGUCUUAGGACUUGUUUCGACUUCCUUCUUCUUCCUCUGCUGCCCCAUGGGUUUGUCUUGGGGAUUUUAACGACUUAUUAACGGCCAGUGAGAAAAGAAGUAGACUUGAUCAUUCUAAUUGGAAGCUUCAGGGGUUUAAGAGUGUUAUUUCUGAUAGUAGUUUGCUUGAUGUUGGGAUGGAAGGUUAGCAAUUUACUUGGGAGAGAUCCCGAGGGUCAGCUGAUUGGGUGGAGUUACGGCUUGAUAGAGUUUUCACCUCGGCUGAGUGGCUUAAUCAUUUUGCUCGGGUUAAUUUUAUGAGUUUGGAGGCUUCUUGUUCUAACCACUUGCCUAUUUUUAUGGAUCCAAAUCCUAUUGUUCAUAAUAAUAGGCAUUGGAGAUUUCGUUUUGAGAAUUUGUGGCUGCGGGAGGGGGAAUGUGUUGAGGUGAUUAAAAAUAGCUGGGCCGCUUCUUCAGGUUGUUCAAUUCAGCAAAAGAUUUUGAGGUGUAGUGCUGACUUGUUUCAAUGGGGAGGUUAUUUAGCUCGAGAUCUUCGCAAGCAUAUUUCCGAUUGUAAAUGUCUCAUGGCUCGAUUAAGGGGGCGGCGUGACCAGGUUGGUGUGGAUGAAUUUGUUGAGGCCAUGAAUCGUUAUAAUGCGCUCCUCCAUAGUCAUGAAGUCUUCUGGAAGCAAAGAGCAAAAUCCCUUUAGCUUAAGGAGGGAGAUAUGAACUCGCGUUUCUUUCGUGCCACAACUUCAGUAAGGAAGCAUAGGAAUUCUCUUAAAAGGUUGUGUAAUAGUCAGGGGCAUUGGUGCUCUAAUCAUGAUGAGAUUGAUGUAAUGAUUGUGGAGUAUUUCAGUACGUUAUUUAAGACUAAAGGUUGUAGCAGUGCUGAUGUCUUAGCUUGUGUAAAGACGAGUAUUACCGAGGAUCAAAAUAUGACACUCUUGGCUCCAUUCUCUGCUAUUGAAAUUAAAGAUGCCCUUUUUUAUAUGCAUCCAGAUAAAUCUCCAGGGCCUGAUGGUAUGAAUCCUGCAUUUUAUCAAAAGUUCUGGCAUAUUGUAGGUGAGGAUGUGGUACUAGCUUGCUUGACUUUCAUUAACAAUUGUUCCUUUUUUGUAGGAUUGAAUGACACCUCCAUUGUUUUGAUUCCGAAAAAGCAACAGCUUGAGACUUUAGCAGAUAUGAGGCUCAUUGCGCUAUUUGAUAAAGAGUAUUCUAGCUUCUUAUAGUCGUGCUUCUGGGCAAAAAGUUAAUUUCAGCAAAUCUUCUAUUUCAUUUAGCUCUAAUGUGCUUGCUGAUGUUGUUAGCCAGGUGUGUGGGGUGCUGGAUGUUAAUGUUACCUCUGAUUAUGGUGCUUAUUUGGGUCUUCCCUUUUGUAUUGGAAGAAAGAAAAAAGUUGUGUUUCAAAGCAUCCAUGACAAAGUUUGGCAGAGGCUUCAAGGAUGGAAUACGAAGCUGCUAUCUAGAGGCGGAAAAGAAGUUUUACUAAAAACAGUGGCGCAAGCAAUGCUUAAUUAUAUAAUGAAUGUCUACCUUCUUCCGCUUGAUCUUUGUAAGGAACUUGAAAUUAUGAUGAACUCGUUUUGGUGGGGUAGUAAGCGCAAUGGUGGUGGUGGAAUUAAAUGGAUGAAGUGGGAGCGUCUAUGCAAGCCGAAGGAUUUUGGGGGGUUAGGUUUCAAGUAACUCCAUAUCUUCAAUAUUGCAAUGUUGGGUAAACAUGUGUGAAAUCUGUUGACAAACCCAACUUCUCUUGUUGCAAAGGUUCUUAAAGUCCGUUAUUUUCCUAGAUCCUCUGUUUUUUAUGUUAGCUUGGGGUUUAAUCCGAUUUUUAUUUGGCGCUCCAUAAUGGCUUCAAAGGAUGUUGUUAUUAAAGGAAGCAGACUUCAUAUUGAGAGUGGGCAUCAGGCCCUCAUUGGGAAAGCUCCUUGGCUUCCUAACUCUGAUUGUGGUUUCAUUACUAUUGAUCUGCAUGAGGAACUUGCAAUGGCUCCAGUAUGUAGUUUGAUGAUGGUUAAUCAGCGUCGAUGGGACUAUGAUGUUGUGACCGACUUAUUUAAUGCCAAAAAUAGAGAUCUUAUUCUGAAAAUACCGCUUAUCACUCGUAGGGAUCGUGAUGUGUGGUAUUGGUUGGCCAAUCCUCGUGGUGUGUUUUCUGUUCGUAGCUGUUACAAGAUGAUGACUUAUGAUGCUAAUAACUCUUCCUCGAGUUUUUGGAGACGCUUAUGGAAAUUGAAUGUGCCGGGUAAAGUGAAGAAUUUUCUUUGGCGUGCUGUUAAGAAUGUUCUGCCUACAACUGAUAACCUCCUUAGUCGAGAGUUCAGGUGUUGCCUACUUGCUCUGUUUGUAAUGCCUAUAAUAAGUCUGUAAUUCAUGCUUUGGUGGAAUGUGGUUUUUCCAAAUCUUGCUGGAUUGCUUCUCCUGUUGGCUAUGUUGGUCAAAUGUCUUCUUUUAUGGAGUGGCUUGGUAUUAUUUUUUCUCGUUGUAACAAAGAAGAGUGUGAGCUUGCUACUAUGAUUUGUUGGAGGAUUUGGGCUCAUCGUAAUGAUAAAGUUUGGAAUAAAAGAUGUGGUCGGUUUUACCAAAUUCUCAACUCUGCUAGCCACCUUUUAAACUAGUGGCAAUCUUUGAGAAAACAAGUUAUGUUUACUGAUGUAGAUGAGAGCUGCUUGGUUCAGGGGUUGUGUGCUGGGAAAGACCUCAUGUUGGUUGGGUUAAAUGCAAUGUUGAUGCUGCUGUGUUUUCUUUUCAAUCGAAAAGUAGUUUUGGCUGUGUGGUUCACAAUUCUGAUGGUACUUUCUUGGCUGCAAAGUGUGAUAGUUUUGCUGGCAGUUUUGGGGCUAGAGAAGCAGAAGCGUUUGGUGUUCGGGAGGCACUUAGCUGGUUGAAGAAUUUGCAACUUCCUCGUGUGGUAAUUGAAUUGGACUAUCUUCAAGUUUUUAAGGCUUUAACUAAGAACCAGUCAAGUCCUAAUGGCUUUGGACUCAUAAUUGAGGAAUGUCGUUUUUUAGCUCAGAAUUUGAGAGAAAUGAAAUUCUCGUUUGCCCGUCGAUCUGCGAACACUGCUGCCCAUAGUGUUGCUAGGGUGGGGGGUUCUAUGUCAGGUUCUAAAGAGUGGAGUGUUGCUCCAUCUCGUUGGUUACUGAAAAAUUUGCAAUCGUUUUUGUUUAAUGAAUUUCUCUUAAAAAAAUAAUAAUAAUAGUUAGGGUAAGGUGAAGCUCUUAGGAAAUAAAUAUGAUUUAAUCAAAUUCUAUUUUUAAUUUUAUAAAUUAAAUUAUUUUCUAUUUAAUUUUAUACAUAUUUUCUAUUUUAAAAUUUUGAUUUAUUGUAGACAAAUAAGGGAGUUUGGCACAAUAAAUUCUUAAUAUAUUAAUAUAAGAUAUGGUAAAAUUGUAUUUUGACUUAUUGCAGACAAACUAAAUUUGGCACAAUAAAUAUUUAAUCCAUAAUGAAAUUAAUGGGAAAAUAAUAUAAUUUAUAAAAUUAAUCUUUUGGGCAAUAAAUCUAAAAAAAUGUAAAAAGAAUUUAUUAAAUUUUAUUUACUACUAAGAGUGGAUCUAUAACCCUAACUAAUUUAAUAUCAUAAUUACUUUAUUGAAAUCAAGUUGUAUAAGUUUUGUUUUCAUUUUUAGAUAAAGUAAAAUAAACAAAGUAAAUAUUUUCUCUGUAGAUUGAUCUCGGACUCAUCGAGCUAUAAUAUAACAAGACACUCUUAUACUUUGAAGUUAGAAAUCACUUUUAAUUUAUGUCAAGUUUUUGACGCCGUUGCUAAGGAAAUGUUUUUUUUUGUUUCAUUUUUUUGUUUUUCAUUUUUUCUCUUUUUGUAAAUUUUCAUUCACGCCCUUUUCCUCUUAUUAACUUUUGUUUUGCCCACAAAAUCUUUCAGAAUCUUUACAUUCAUAUCACAUGGCUCUGUUCUAAACUUCUAAAAAUUACUAUCUGGCCAUAAAAUUAUAAAGAAUUUGCAAAAGAUCCCUAGACGAAAUUUCUCAUAAUAAUGAGACUUGGACUUACAUCUUGCACUUAUUUGGACUCAAUUUGGACCAAUUUGGCCUCAAUUUAGACUAAGCAAACUGAAUAUUGACUCUUAAUUUUUUUUAUUUAAUUUUUCGUAUUUAUUUUAUUUUAUUAUACGGCUGGUUUGACCGCCAAAAUUGUUAUUUAAUUUUCUAUUUUUUUUAUUAUUUUGCAUUUAUUUUAUGCUUUAUUUUAUAUUGUUAAUUUGUAUGGUGGGUUCAACCACCAAAAUUAUUAUUUAUUUUUAAUUAAUUUUUUUUAAAUUUUUUGUACACUUAUAUUAUUUGCAUAUUUAAUUUUCCUUUUUUUUUUGCAAUUUUCAUUUAGUUCUUUUGUUACUAAUUUCUUUGAAUAUUACCUUUGUGAUAUAAUUAUUGCAUGAUAUGUUGGUCUCGAACUUCAAGUGGCAGGUUAAUUCGUAGAUCUCAAUCACCACCACCAAUCAUGGACGAGAUACAAGAUGAGAAAAAAAAACAAGGAAAUUAAUAAUGUUAGCAUACCACGGCAUUGAAGUAACAUAAAAUAAAAAUUCAUCAGGGAAAGAAUCAUUGAUAGGUGUUAUAUCAGUGCAGUAUUUAGAUGUGAGUCUUCAUAAAUGAUCAACAAUGACAUUUUUGACACUCUUUUCAUUUUUUAUGGUAAGGUCAAAUUCUUGAAGUAACGAAAUCCAACGAAUUAAUCUUGGUUUGGCAUCCUGUUUUUUUGGACUAAUUUGUUGGAUUUGGUUACAUCAAAAAUUUGACCUUACCAUCAAAGAUAAAAAGGGUGUCGAAAAUGUCGUUGCUGAUAAUUUAUCAAGACUCACAUCCGAAUACUACACUUAUAUAGCACCCAUCAAUGAUUCUUUCCUUGAUGAAUUUUUAUUUUCUGCUACUUCAAUGUCAUGGUAUGCUAACAUUGUUAAUUUUCUUAUUUUUUUCAUCUUGUAUCUCGUCCAUGAUUGGUGGUGGUGAUUGACAUCUACGAAUUAACCUGCCAUUUGACGUUCGAGACAAACGUCUCAUGCAAUAAUUAUAUCACAAAGGUAAUAUUAAAACAAAUUAGUAACAAAAGAACUAAAUGAAAAUUGCACCCAAAAAAAUGAAAAUAAAAUAUGCAAAUAAUGUAAGUGUACAAAAAAUUAAAAAUUAAAAUUAAAAUUAAAAUAAAAUAACAAUUUGGUGGUUGAACCCACCAUAUAAAUUAACAAUAUAAAAUAAAGCAUAAAAAAAAUGCAAAAUAAUAAAAAAUUGAAAAAUUAAAUAACAAUUUUGGCGGUCAAACCAGCCGUAUAAUAAAAUAAAUAUGAAAAUUAAAUAAAAAAAUUAAGAGUCAAUAUUCAGUUUGCUUAGUCUAAAUUGAGUUCAAAUAAGUCCAAGUCUGGUUAUUAUGAGAAAUUUCGUACAGGGAUCUUUGUACAAAUGUUUUAUAAUUUUAUGGUCAGACGGUAAUUUUUAGAAGUUUAGAACAGAGUCAUGUGGGAUGAAAGUGACGACUCUAAAAGAUUUUGUAGACUAAACAUAAUUUAAUAAGAGGAAAAGGGCACGAAUGAAAAUUUACAGAAAGGGAAAAAUGAAAAACAUAAAAAUGAAACAAAAUAAAAAUCUUUCCCCGGCAACGGUGCCAAAAAUGCGACACAAUUUAAAAGUAAUUUCUAACUUCCAAGUAUAAGAGUGUCUUGUUAUAUUAUAUUUCGGUGAGUCCGAGGUCGAUCCAUAGAGAAAAGAUUUACUUUGUUUAUUUUACUUUAUCUAAAAAUGAAAAUAAAACUUAUACAACUUGAUUUAUAUGGAAUUAUGAAAUUGAAUUAGUUAAGGUUAUGGAUCCACUCUUAGUAGUAUAUAAAAUUUAAUAAAUUCUUUUUGCCAUUUUUUUUAGAUUUAUUGUCCAAAGAUUAAUCAAAUAAAUUAUUAUUAUUUUCCCAUUAAUUUUAUUGUGGAUUAAGUAUUUAUUGUGCCAAAAUUUAAUUUGUCUACAAUAAGUCAAAAUAUCAUUUUACCAUACCUUAUAUUAAGAUAUUAAAAAUUUAUUGUGCCAAACUCCCUUAUUUUUCUACAAUAAAUGAAAUUUUCAAAAUAUAAAAUAUGUAUAAAAUUAAAUAGAAAAUAAUUUAAUUUAUAAAAUUAAAAAUAAAAUUUGAUUAAAUCAUAUUUAUUUCCUAAGAGUUUCACCUUACCCUAACUAUUAUUAUUUAGUUAAGCAUAAUUGAAAUAAAAAGAAUUAUUAAAAUUAAAUUACUCAUAAUUAAAAUGAAUAAAAACAACUAAAAUUGAAAAUAAAACUAAAUUUAUUUAUAAAAUAAUUAAGCAAAAUAUUUAAAACACACCUGAAAAACAAGAUUACAGGGAGAUUGAGAGAAAUUGAGAAGAAGAGAGAUGUAGAGAGAUGUAGAGAGAUGAUCAAAAACAUAAAAAUGAGGCUCUAUUUAUGGAAAAAUAAAUUCAUAAUCCAGUGUUUUGCGGCCCAUCAUAAGCUUUAUGCAUGCACUCCUCACAGCCAUUAGAUCAUGAUCCAACGACUGGUCAAACUUCAAAAGUCAACAUUACACGUGGCAUCAUUUGACGCGUUCGAUUCGGCCAAAAAAUGGUUGAGAUUUGGCGGGUUAAUGGGUGGAUCGGGUUGACCCAAAUACAAAGAUUCGGAUCCUACAACUUGCUUUACUAACCAUUGCCACGUGGCAAAAUCGUGGGCAUUGAAUUAUGAACGAUUGAGAUUUAGUCAAAAUUACUAGCUAUCCAAUGCACGCAUAUCUAUUGUAAGCUCAUUUUAUCAUCCAAUCAAUACUCGGUCAACAAAAAAAGUCAACUCUUUCGUACAACCUCAAUUUUAAGCGGAUUUUGACUCAUCUUAAGGUUUUCGGACCUCCAAAAUCUAAAUUUGUCAUCUGUUUAUCUGUUUGGAGCCUUAAAUUACACGAAUUUAAUAUUUUACCUAAUAAACGCACAAAAAUAUACAAAAUUAAAUAUAAUUAAGACACAAUUAAUAACUCCUAAUAUAUUGCAUAAACACAAAUAUAAAUUAUAAUAUAGGCACAAAAUAAUUUUUUAUCGCUUGAUAAUCAAACAAUUUUUAAUACUAAUCACCAAGUCCCAACUUGACCCUAUGACUAAAAUGAAGGGCUCUAAUCCUUAAAAAACCCGACCCUUCAAAUUAAGCAACAACUUGACUUUAAUAAUUUUUUAAUAUUUUAGUUUUUUUUUAAGACUAGGACUCCUAUUCUUCAUCUUUAGUAAUAAUAAUAUUAUUAUUAUUGUUCCUUUUUUUGGUUGGAUUUGUUUGUAAGGAAUUUAAUAAAUUAUUUUUUAUUCAACUUUAACAAUAAUAGAACAUGUAACAAUCUAACAAAAUUAACCAAGCAACAUGUUAAUAAAUCAAAUACAAAAUAACAAAUUUAAUGUGAAACAAAGACAAAUAUACCUAAGGUGUAGAUGUAACCAUCUAUGUGGUGUAUGUGUGUCUUAAUAAUAUUUUUUAUUUUAAAAAUUAAUUUAAAUAUCAAGACCUGGGACAGAGCUUUUUGGUAAAACCUUAACUCUAACCUGAAUGUAAUUAGGUCCUGAUUCCUUAAGCCCUAACCCAACGUUUAACCCUUUAAAUUUGAGCUAAAGUAGGUCGGAUCAAUCAGGCCAAGGGUCAGAUCAAUCACACCGAGGGUCGGAUCGACCCUUUUUAUCAUCCUAAUAAUUACCUUAAAUUAAAAUCACAUUUUUUAAAAAAUUAUAUAAAAAUUAUUCUUAUACAAAGUAACAAUAUAUGACCCAUUAAGAAACGAACCUUUUAUCCACAAACAAAAUUUCAAAACCCACUUAUAGACCUCAAAAGCAUUUUAGUCCAUUUAAUCAAACAUAAAAAUACAGGUACCAACUGGUUAGCUUACACACUUCCCAUACAAAGGCACGGGUCUUAUUUCAUUAAAUAAUAAGAGUAUCACCAAAAAGCACUUCAAAUAAAAUUUUAUUACUUAUUUGAAGAGUCACAUCAAUAUUUAAGGCUCCAAAAGACACUUCAAUUAAAAUUUUUCAAAUAAAAAAUGAUUCUCUCUCUUUAAAUUUAGAGAGUUGUUUUCUCCCUCUUCAAUUUAUAUUUUAUUACUUUUCAUUGGCGAAAGAGAUAGAAGUAUUUUAAUUGCUAUUGACUUUUCCUUUUAAAAAAUAAUUAUUUGAUUAAAAUAAUAUUAAUUUAUUUCUAUUUGAAAAGUCUUUUAGAGAAUAUCAUAUUUUUUCACCCUUCUAUUUGCCACAUAGGUAAGCAAAUAGAUAUUUGAAGAAUAAAAUUUAUAGAGGCUUUUGGAGAUGCUCUAAUAAUAAGGGUCCCUCUAUGAUGCCGUAAUUUUUUUUACGGCAUCAAUAGCGUAAAAAAUAUGUACCGUUGGAUGUAAUCAAAGGUACAUAUUUUUUAAUAAUAAAAAUAUUUAAUUAUUUCAAAAAUAUUAUAACUGGUUAACAAACCGAUUGAAAAGAUUAUUUUAAAUUUUAAAAGAAAGACAAUAGAGAUACGAUAAAACACGAUCUCUUUCUUUAUCUCAUAAAAUUCACUAUCUAUUUAUCUCUCACGUUGUUGUAUUGAAAUUUGAUUCUUGAAUGCUGUCUCAUUUCCUAAAUGAUUAACCAUUGACAAGAAUUGUAAUCUCAUUCUUUUAGUUCAACUUUUUCUCAGUUUAUUGCCUUGAGUAUUUGAUAGGUAGGCUUUUACAUGUGUUGCUAGAUGGUGACAUUAGACAAGGAAUCAUGGAUUUGAUGUUCUUUGUUGUACUAAAUUCAUAUCAAAUCUUGCUUUGAUGCUAUAAUAUAUUUAGUUACUACCUUACAUUUUCUUUUUUCACAUUUGAAAACAAAUUCUUUUUAUUCAUAGGAUUACGUGACGUGUGCAGUCUUGAAGUGUGAACUUCAAAGCAUAAAGUUGCAUCGCAGCAUGUUAGCAGCAAAGUUCCUUCCCUGCAUUAGAUAGAAAACAAAACAACCGAAAUCAGGGAAUCAAGUGAAACCAAGACUUGGCUCAGUCAGCAGUUAGCCACUCAUGAUUUGUCUUUUUCAGUGCGUGUUAGGAUCCUAGUCUUAGUUCUACAUUAUUUCCUUUUCUGUUAAGGAUUAGUUACUAAGUUAUUAUGUUAUUAGGAAUUAUUAUUUUAGUAGGAUUUCUUUCGCUCUAUAUAAGGAACUGUUGUUAGAUUAAUAAAGAAUAAGAAUUGCUUCAAAAACUCUCAUUUUCCCUCUGGCCACCUCUCCUCAUUAUUCUUCUCAUUAUUUUUCUCUUCAAUUCAUUGCUCUAAAUUGCUAUCUAAGAGCAACAGCCUAACAGUGCGCUUUCUCUUUUCGACUCGAAUUCAUCCCUUCGACAAACGACAAGAUGGCAGGCAGCAAAAACAGGGGUUGAGGACCCGGUUAAUCGGUGGAAGCAGCAACCCACCAAUCGUUUAAGAAAAAGGGGCAAAGCAAGCAGAAGCCCACUUAUUAAUCUCAGUCUCUUAUUCCAUUCUCCUUUUCUCCACCCCCAUUUAAUCAUCUCCAGCAGCGACGCGGGAAAGGUUAAACCGGCAUGAUCUUGCCCACUUAUUAAUGUAGUUAUCUCUUUUUUUUCUUUUUGAAUAUCAUUAAUGUUGCCUUUCUCUUUUCGUUCCUCGCAAAAACAACAAGAGGGAUCAAAAUAGAAAGCACACCCGCAAGCCGAAGAAAACCCACACCAAAUAAGAUCUAUAGAAGAUAGGAUAACAUGUUCAAGCUUCUGGAACAGAGGCUACUGCACGCUUCAUGGAAGCAAAUUUGAUAAGGUGGUUGUAGCUGUCUUUUUCCUUGAACAAUUUGGAGAAACGAUGUUUGCAAUACCAGAUGCCUUCCAGGGCUGCGUAAUUUGAUGGGCUAAUGGAAUAACCACCAUGUGAGCACUUGAAACAUGAGAUGGGCCUGGCUUUCCAUUGCUACCUUCUCCGAUGGACACACUAUUUUACUGCAAGAAGCACAUGUUUUUGGGUCCCAGAUAACAUGCUGGCAGCUUUGCUAGGUGAUCUUGUCGAGUUAACUUCUCAAUUAACUUUGCAGGUGAUUGGAAAUUCUUGUUAAAGUUACCCGACUCCUUGAAAAGUUGUUCAAAGUGAGGCUUAAAGUAAAGAACACCUUCCAUGGAUGAGUAAUUGCUCAGCUUGAGUGUGCCUUUGCAGUGAGAGCACUUAAAGCAAGACUUAUGAUAAACAAUCCCAUCAGCAGAUAAUUGCUCAACUGGAUAAACUGUCUUCUCACAGACCUUGCAUUUCUGUUGGGUACCAAUAAAAGACAUUGCUUUUUGAAUUUUGGUUGAUAACUGCAAAAACAAUAUUGAACGUUUUGUUAUUAGCAAACUUGCAUGAUUAAACUGUACUGACCUAAAAUAUGUAAUAUUACACAGUAUAUACGAUUGGAUACACAAAUGUGUAUAGUUAUAUAGAAAUUUUACAAAUUUUAAUUUCAACUUCUUUUCUUAAAUAUAUUCUGGAUUUAGUAAACAAAAGUCACGGUUGUCCUUAAAACUACACAAGAUAAGAUGUUUUCACUUAAAUGGUAUCAAAUAAUGAAGAAUAAUAUUACAAGUUAUGUAUCUCUAGAAAGCUGUAUUUGUCAGGAGUUCAACUAAUUUUACGGUUUUCUAUUUGAAGUUUUCUACAUGACGAUAUGGCUUAAAGAAUGGUGACUGCUCAGAAUCAUUAAAGCAACCAAGUCUAUGAUUAUCAGCCAAAUUUCAUGAUUUAACUAUAUUGAUCUAGAACAUAUACUUAAAUUCUAGAGAAUUGCUUUAGUGAUGCAAGCAGAGUGAACAAGACAAUGUAUUCCUUUUGAUUACUUGAAUAAUUCGAAAAUACAGAGCUAUUGCAGUAUAUAUAGAGACAAAGAGAAUAAUGACAGCUAGCAAAAAUAUAUUACAUAGGAAAAAUGAAAACUAAUUUGUCAGAAUUAAAAUCAUGAGCCAAUCAUUUUAGACUUCUAGAAGGUUCAGCUGCUCCAUGCUUAUGUGCUGAUAUUCUUCACCAUAGCUGUUCUGCCAGCUCAAUAAAUCUGACUCAUCUUCCAUAGCAGCAGGCUGCAGAUUACAGAAGCUUAGGUGGCAUGCCAGCUUGGCUUCAAGGUCAAUUGUUGACUCCUCACAGCUGCUGUUUUCAACACCCUCUCUCAAACUCAAGGUCUUGUCAAUGACUUUGAGUUUGCUUCGAAAACAGCUAAACUUGGAGUGUGGUAGUGGCUUGGUCAACACAUCUGCAAUUUGAUCAUUGCUGCCAACAUAGUUUAUUUCCAAUUCACCCUUUGUAACUUUGUCUCUGAGGAAAUGAAGGUCUAUCUCAAAAUGUUUUGUUCUAGAAUGAUACACUGGGUUUGCUGCUAUGGCUGCUGCACUGGUGCUGUCACUUAGGAUAAUUGGUACAUUUUCAACCUCCAUCUUCAGUUCACCAAGUAAAGAAUUUAUCCAUGUGAUUUCAGUGCUGCACAGAGCCAUUGCUCUAUAUUCUGAUUCUGCCGUGGACCUUGCAACCAUGCCUUGUUUUCUCGAGCUCCAAGCAACUAGAUUAUCUCCCAGGUACACACAGUAUCCACUUAUAGAUCUUCUGUCAUCUGGAUCAGUUGCCCAGUCUGCAUCUGUGUAUGCAAUGAGAUCCAGAUGCUCAGAUUUUUUGAACCUUAGACAUAAAUUCAUAGUGUUUUUGAGAUACCUCAGCACUCUUUUGCAUGCUACCCAAUGUGGCUGUCUGGGAUCAGACAUGAACUGACUCAGCUUGUUCACUGAGAAGGCAAGCUCUGGCCUAGUCAAUACUGCAUAUUGUAGGCUUCCUAUGACACUCCUAUAGAGUGUGGGAUCAUGGAAUCUAUUCCCAACAUCCUUCAGCAAUUUCUCAGAGGUGCUGAAGGGUGUCUCUAUUCCUUUACAUUCUGUCAUCUCUGUUUUGGCCAGCAGGUCUUGAACAUACUUUUCUUGAGAAAGUAGAAUAGAGUUUUGACUCCUGAUAACUUGUAUCCCAAGAAAGAAGUUUAAAUUUCCGAGAUCCUUCAAAGCAAAAGAUGUAUCCAGAUCCUUAAUCACUUCCUCAAUGCCUUGGUUGUCACUUCCAAUGAUUAUGAUGUCAUCUACAUAUAUGAGCAUGAUAACUAUCUUUGAUUCAACCCUUCUGAAAAACAAAGAUGUGUCACUCCUGGAAUUUUUGAAUCCCCAAGAACUCAAAGCACCUUUUAGUUUAUCAAACCAUGCUCUCGGAGCUUGCCUCAGUCCAUACAAAGCCUUUUUUAGUUUGCAGAUGUAGCUUGGCCUGUUCUUGUCUUCAAAACCUUCAGGCUGUGGCAUGUAUACUGUCUCUGUCAAGUCACCAUUCAAGAAGGCAUUGUUUAUGUCCACUUGCCUAAGCAACCAGUCAUUGUUUACAGCCAUGGUUAGGAUGAUUCUAAUAGUUGCAGCCUUAACAACAGGGCUGAAAGUUUCAUUGAAAUCAAGCCCUGGGGUCUGCAAGAAUCCCUUUGCAACCAAUCUGGCCUUAUACUUAUUAAUGCUGCCAUCUGAGUUUUCCUUCACUUUGUAGACCCACUUAUUUCCAAUCAGUUUGCAAUUUUGAUUGUUUGGUAUCAAGGUCCAGGUUUUACUCUUCAUCAAUGCAUGAUAUUCAUCCUCCAUUGCCUUUUUCCACUUGGGAUCCUUCAAAGCAUCUAAGGUGUUUUUGGGGAGUAGAGGUUGUGUUCUACUAGAAACUUGGAACAGCUUUGGUUUGAAGAUGCCAGCCUUGGAUCUUGUUACCAUGGGGUGUGAAGACAAGGUGUUUUGUGUGGGAAGGUUUUGAUUGUUUGUUUAUGUGAUUUGAGGUGGACUGUGAGUUGAAGGGCUACCUGAUAUUGAGUCAGUAUCAUUUACCUGUUGCAUUUCAUUCUGAACUGGACUUGGGCUGCAUUCUGUGUUUCCAGUAGUGUCUAGAGAGUUGCCAUGAGCUGUUGUCACUUGUGUGAGGCUAUGGGGAUCAUUAACAGAAAAAGACACAACCUGAAAUUUCUCAAGUAAAGCAACUUCAUCACCCUCUUUUACUGACUCUUGUUUCCUAAAGCUAGAAUCUUUUUCGAAAGGAAAAGAGUUUUCAUUGAAUUUGACACUGGCUGAGAUAUAGAUUCUACCUGAAUUACUCAUACAAACAUAACCUUUGUGAACACUGCUGAUCCCCAAUAGGAUACAUUUGGAGGUGUGAAAAUCAAAUUUGUGUUUGUUGUAUGGUCUUAGAAAUGGAAAGCACUCACAGCCAAAAAUUUUAAUUUGUGUAUAAUCUGGUUUGAGAGAGUAUAAUAAUUCAAAUGGUGUCUUAUUCUCAAGCACAGGUGAGGUGAGUCUGUUAAUGAUGAAGGUAGCAUAGCUGAAAGCUUCUUGCCAAAUUUUUAAGGGCAUUUUGGCUUGAGCAAGUAGGGCAAGUCCAGUCUCCACAAUGUGUCUGUGUUUUCUCUCAACCUUGCCAUUUUGUUCAUGUAAGUAUGGACAUGAAUGUCUUAGAGCUAUUCCCUCUCUUUUCAAAUAUGGUUCAAAGGCUUUGAAUUCUCCUCCCAUGUCUGUUUGUAGUGCUUUGAUUGUUAAGUUCAACUGUUUUUCAAUCUGAUUUUUAAAGGUAAUGAAGGUAUCAAGAGCUUGAGACUUGGCUGCUAAAGGAAAGAUCCAUGUGUAUCUUGUUCUGUCAUCAACAAAGGAAAUGUAAUAUCUGUGUCCAUGAGUGGAUAGAAUUGGUGCUGGUCCCCAAAGGUCUGUGUGAAUUAAUUCCAGGGCUGUCUUAGUUUUGGUUUCAGUGCUUUUGAAAGUUUGUUUUGAUUGCUUUCCAUAUUGACAUGCUGAGCAGAAUGAAGGAACAUCAUAUUUAUUAAUUUUGAGCUGAUUACAUGAUAGCAAGGUAUUUUUCAAGACUGAUGUACUAGGGUGUCCUAGUCUGGAAUGCCAUAGAUUAAUUUCUGCAUCAGCUUGCUGACUGUUGCUACUUGACUCAUCAGCUACAUUUGACUUGACACUGACUUUGACAGACUCAUUACUUAAAUUGAAGGACAACAUGGACACAGGACAACUAAUGUUGUUUAUUGACUCUGACUUUGACAAAAUUGAAAAUAAAGCAGCAGAAGGAAUUUUGUUCCUGCUCAGGAUAGCAGGUAGGUGCAUCAGCUCAUAUAGCCCAUCUCUAGCCACUCCUUUCACCAGAAUUUUCCCUUGUCUCUUGUCCUUAAUAAAACAAACAAGUUUUUGAAACUCAACAUCAACAUCAUUGUCAUGCAGUAAUUUAGAAAUGCUAAUAAGGUUCUUGGUUAUGUCAGGCACAUAUAAUAUAUCAGUUAAGGUAAUGUGCUUGUGUGGAUCAUAAGUGGGCAAGGCAGAAUAACCAAUAUGACUGAUCAGAAGCUUUUCACCAUUACCAACAGCUAGUUUAUUUUUACCUUGGUAUUCAGAGUUGAUGCUGAUAUUUCCAAGAGUGUUUGUCACAUGAUUGGUGGCACCACUGUCAAGGUACCAAGCUCCACUGCUUUGACCUUCAGCAGCAGCAACAUAAGCACCCCUCUGCUCUCUUCUUCUGGUUGGUUGUGAUACAAAGUUUUUCUUGAAUCUGUGCCAACACUCAGCUGCUGUGUGCCCCAUUUUCCAGCAAAUUUGACAUGGCCCUUUUGGAUCAGAGCCAUUGUCAUCUGCCACUGCUUUUCCUUUCCCUUUGUCUUGAAAGUUCUGGUUGGUUUGGUUGUUUGUGGGGUUGUUUCCAGGGCUUCUAAAGACUAUUCCAGGCUGCUGGUGAUGAGCAGCUCUCUCACUGUUGUUCCAGCUCCUUCUUCCAUUCCUCAUUUGAGCAUAGUUUGCUUCAAUAUUCCCAGAGCUCAAGUUUUGCUCAGUUCUGUUUUCUUGACUCAAAAGCAUACCAUACACUUCUGAGAUUGAGGGAUUCUCCUGCAUUGAGUUGAUGUUAGUAACUACUGAGUCAUAUUCUGGCCCCAACCCAUCAAGCACACACAUGAUGAAAUCAUCAUCAUUCAUACUAUUCCCUGCAGCUCUAAGUGAGUUCAGUAAAGUUUUCAUUUUGGAUUAGUAUUCAUGAAUGGUUGAUGGACCCUUUUUAGUAGUUUGAAUUUGGGUUCUGAGAUAUAGUACUCUUGCCCUUGUUCUAGCACCAAAUUGGUUGGCUAGAGUUGUCCACACCUCACAGGAGGUGGAACAAUCUACCACUGUGCCAAGGACUCCUUCACUUAGUAAAGAGAGUAGCCAACUUAGUAGAAUAUGGUCCUGUUUCCUCCAAAUCUGGUAUUCAGGGUUAGGUGAGGUAAUGGUGGUUCGAUUUGGUCCAGGAUUCAUAAAGGCUUUAGGAGGGCAGACACGGCUGCCAUCAACAAACCCCUCAAGCUCAUUUGCUCUAAUGCUGGAAAUCACUUGUGAUUUCCAGAGCAUAAAGUUGCUUUGAGUUAGUUUGAUUGGAUUAGUAAAGACAUAGGUGUUGCUAGUGAUGUGCUGGGUGGGUGAUGCACUUAUUUGUGCUGUGUUUCUGGUAUUAAGGCCUGGACUUGGUGGCUCAGUGUUUUGGUUUUGAUUUUGAUUCAAUUCGUCUGGUUGAUCACUUGAAUCAACUUGUGUUGGAUUAACAUUUGUUUCAUUGUCACUGCUGCUUGCCAUAGCUAAAAGAUUGGCUCUGAUACCAACUUAAAUUCUAGAGAAUUGCUUUAGUGAUGCAAGCAGAGUGAACAAGACAAUGUAUUCCUUUUGAUUACUUGAAUAAUUCGAAAAUACAUAGCUAUUGCAGUAUAUAUAGAGACAAAGAGAAUAAUGACAGCUAGCAAAAAUAUAUUACAUAGGAAAAAUGAAAACUAAUUUGUCAGAAUUAAAAUCAUGAGCCAAUCAUUUUAGACUUCUAGAAGGUUCAGCUGCUCCAUGCUUAUGUGCUGAUAUUCUUCACCAUAGCUGUUCUGCCAGCUCAAUAAAUCUGACUCAUCUUCCAUAGCAGCAGGCUGCAGAUUACAGAAGUUUAGGUGGCAUGCCAGCUUGGCUUCAAGGUCAAUUGUUGACUCCUCACAGCUGCUGUUUUCAACACAUAUGAGUUUGCAUAUUAUAUAUAGUACGAUAGAUAAAUUCGUCCAACUAUAGAACAACUUUAAAUAAUUAAAUUCAGACUUUUCUUCUUAAAGAUAUUCACAAUUUAGUGCGCAAAGGUCACAACUGUCUUGAACCUAAACAAGGCCUGAAGUUUCUGAAUUAACUUAUAUCAAUUAACAAGGAAUAAAAUUGCAAACUAUAUAUCCCUAGAAAGAAGUAUUGUCAGGAGUUCAAAUAAUUUUACGGUUUUCUAUUUGAAGUUUUCUACAUGAAGAUAUGGCUUAAAGAAUGUUGAUUGCUCAGAAUCACUAAAGCAACCAAGUCCAUGAUUAUCAGCCGAAUUUUCAUGAUUUAACUGUAUUGAUCUAGAAUGUAUGAGAUUGCAUGCUAUAUAUAUUUGGAUAGAUAAAUAUGUCUAGUUACGACAGAACGUUACAGAAUCAAAUUCGGACAUCUCUUCUUAAAGAUAUUUACAAUUUAGUGUACAAAGGUCACAACUGUCUUCAAACUAUACAAGGCCAGAAUUUUUUUAAUUAAAUGAUAUCAAUUCCUCAAGAACAAAUUACAAGCUAUAAACCCCUAGAAAGUUCUAUAUUUUAGAAGUUCAAAUAAUUUUACAUGUUUAAUUUGAAUUUUUCUACAUUAAGAUAUGACUUAAAAAGUACAGAUUGCUCAGAAGCAUUGAAGCAACAAACUUGGAAGAUAUAUUAGUUCUUUCUUUCAGCCUUUCCCCUUAAGGACAACAACCGCCAAACAUUAUAUGCUUAAUUUUCUUAUGUUUCUACAUUUUUUUUUUCUUUGGAAAAACAAUAGAACAGUGUUUAAUUUUAAAGUAUUGGUUAUUACAUGGUUACACAGCCGAAAUCUCCUCAUGACCAUCUCUCUACUCAACAACAAAAUAAAGAUAAAAAUCCUAAAUAUCAAAUUAUAAAGAACAUAUGCAGUACUAACUUUCUUUAUCAAUAUCAAUGACUUUCUUGUAGUGAUAGCUCCCAGAUUUAUCUUGAACAUAAAUUUUUUAAAAGCUAAAAAACUUGAUUAAUUGAUAAAAAAAAAUCUAUUUAAAUUAAAUUGGAUUGAUUGACUAAAAACUCCACUCAAAUUUAAUCUUUGAUGAGAUACUGUCUGUUGUAUACAAAUAUGAGUUUGAAUUGUGUUAGUUUAUUCUGCCAACAGUCAAACUGGUUAACAUAAAUCGUUUGGAUCGUGUAGUGGGCUCAAGUUCGGCAAAUUUCAGUGACCACGCUACAAUUUCAAACAUUCUCACAAUUUCACUUAAAUAAUAUAUUUUAUUUAAUUACACAAAAUUCAAUAAAUAUAUGAUUUUUGUAAAAUAUAUGAACAUGUAUAUGAAACUGAUAUUCAUAGGAAUUUUUAAUUACACUUUAAAAUUUAUUUUAUCUAUGUAUCCUACAUCAUUCAUUAUCGACUUUUCGUAAUUUUAUUAAGUAGUAAUUUCAAGCCAAACAGAAAAGAGUUUCAACAUUUAAUUAAUUUGAAGACUCAAUGUGAGACUCAAAAUUGCUAAAAUAGUAUUUAAAUCAUAUUGUUAAUGUUAUAAGAUAACUUGAUUAUCAUGUAAUUAAACUAAUUUCAAAAUUUAUUUUGAAAGCAUGCAAACAAAUGUAAUCUAUGCUAUGAGAUUUUUUUUUUUUUUUAAUGUAUGGUGUUUGUCCAAUGGUGAAAUAUAAAUAAUAGCCUUCAAUUUCUCAUGUGGUAUAUUUUAUUGGCUUACUAGCUUAUGAAACUAUAUGCAAAUGUUGAAAAUUGGACUGCUGCAUCAAAUAUCAUGUGAUAUAUCUUAUUUGACCUUAGAUCAAUGUAUCGAAUGCCCAUAAAACAUAGUUUACUUUGUAAUUCUACAAAUUAAUUUUUACUAAUAUUUAUAUUUCAUUUAUCAAUUCAUAAUUCAUCGGGAUAAUUACAAAUUUAAUUUCUCUCCUAUUAAUAAAUAGGGGUACAUACAAGUACUCAAUAUUUGUGUGUGUGUGUGUCACUUAAUAUGUUUUAAUAACUAUAAGAAUAAUUGCCUCUACUAACUUUUUCCCAUACAAUUUUUAUUACAUUUUACCAAUUGUAUUUCUAUACUACUAUUUUGUAAAAGAAAGCUAUAAUUGACUACUCAAAAAUAUCUUCAUAUUUUUUAUUACAUUUACAUUAAAGUUUUAGUAUAUUAGAAAUGCAAAGUUUAAUUUUCAAUAACGUAACACUUUAACGAAAUCAACAUAUUAAGUGCAAUGUAUGAUAGAUGAUAUGACACUUUAAAUAUGCUACAAAGUUAAUAGGAAAAAAACCACCCACACCUCUAAAGUUUGCUUAAAUAGUAAAAAAUAAUCCCUUAAAAUUAAAAAAAUAUAAUAUAAAAUAAGAUAAAAUUUAUAAAAUUUUAUGAAUAUUAAAAAAUUUAUUUUAACAUUAUUAAUUUGUCAUAUUCUUUUAAUAAUAUUAAAAUCUAUUUCACAUACGAAUAAUAUUAAAUUAUUAUACCUAACAUUCAAAGUAAUAUAUAAAAUUUAUAUAUUUUUUUACAAUAUCUUAUUUUAUUAUGUCUAUAUUAAUAUCGAUCUUAAAAUCAAUUUUUGGAUUAAUUAAUUUUAGUAAAUCCAUCGGGAUAGACUAAAAAUAACUUAAUAUGAAUAAAAUUUUCAUCAUACACGUUAUUUUAUUAAUUAUACUUAUUGUAAUAUUUUAUCUAUAUCAUAUGAUAUUUAUUUAUCAUUUCUAUACUAUUACUAUAUUUAUAUUUAUUUAGGUUGUUUUAAUUAAAACGUAUAAUAAUCAUUUAUGAAAUUAAGAGGGUUUGUAUAACUAUUCAUGAAACUAAAUAGUUUUAUAUGAUCAUUUAAGCAAACCUUAAGGGUGUGAAUGGUUUUUUUCCAAAUUAAUAUUAAUUUAAAAGUUAUAAAUUAAUAUUUUACCUGCUAUAUUUUAAUUAAUUAAUUAAUUAUCUAUUAUAUUAAAUGAUUAAAUUUCUUACAUUUAAGGAUUCACACUAAUCCCACUGUCAAUGCUGUAAAAACACAUACAGCAUCUUAAAUAAAUCCUAAUAAUAAUAAUAAACUCUCCCGAAUUGAACCGAACGAGUCAGAAAUGGCAUCGAAAAGCAAGAUUCUAUCCAUCGGGGGGACAGGGUAUAUCGGUAAAUUCAUCGUCGAAGCGAGCGUGAAAGCCGGCCACCCGACGUUCGUGCUCGUGAGAGAAUCCACACUCUCUGCUCCUUCCAAAUCUCAACUCCUCGACCACUUCAAAAACCUCGGCGUCAAUUUCGUUGUCGUGAGCUAUCAAUUUUUUUUUCAUUUUUUAUUAUUUCAAGUCAAAAGAUUAAAAUUCACCAAUUGAUCAACUAUAUAUCUAGCGCCUAACUAUGACCAACCUCAAUCAACGGACGUCCAUCAACUAGAUUAAUUCUCAAAAACCUGACACUUUCUAGUGCGUGGAAGACACAAAGUCCUCAAAGAAGAUAACUUCACAAUAUAUACAAACUCCUUGUUAUUAUUAUGCAGGGAGAUGUUUUGAAUCACGAGAGUUUGGUGAACGCAAUAAAACAAGUGGACGUGGUGAUAUCGACAGUCGGUCACGCUUUAUUAGCCGAUCAGGUCAAGAUUAUUGCUGCCAUUAAAGAAGCCGGUAACGUUAAGGUAAAAAACAUAAUUAAUAUCAUUAAUAUAAUUAAAUUAAUUAAUUACAAACCAAUAGCAUGAACGCAGUUAAUUAAUUGAUGUUUGUAAAUUAUUUAUAAUUCAGAGAUUCUUCCCAUCAGAAUUUGGAAAUGAUGUUGACCGAGCCCAUGGCGCCGUAGAGCCAGCAAAAUCAGCGUACUACGACGUAAAGGCGAGAAUUCGCCGAGCCGUUGAGGCAGAAGGCAUUCCGUACACUUACGUAGAAUCUUAUUGUUUUGAUGGCUACUUCCUCCCCAAUUUGUUGCAGCCUGGGGCCGCUGCCCCCCCGAGGGAUAAGGUUGUCAUCUUAGGCGAUGGAAAUCCAAAAGGUAACAUAAUUUAGUUAGGCUCAUUUUUUAUCCAACAGUUUGUUGAUUAAAAACUUCAAAUAUUUUUACUAGAUUUGUUGAAAAUAUUACGGUUAAAACCUUCUUUUUUUUUUUUUAAUAUCAUCCCUGUACUAAAUGAAUCCUAAGUAAUCAAUGUAGAUAUUAAGAUAAAAGUUUUAGGUGAUUAUUAGAUACUUUAGCUCCUGAAUUGCCACGUCAUGGCUACCACACAAACGGGAGAAAUUUUAGAAUAUUUUAAAUAUAUUACAACUAAUUAAUGCAUGAAUGACAUGUGUAGUUGAAUUUAAUACAACCACCACUUUCAUGAUGGUUUUUCAAAAUAAAUACACAUAUAUCAUGACAUUAUUUACUUGUUGUAUGGUUGACAUAGUACCUCAGAUGUAUUUCUCCACAAACGGAGCUUAACUUAUGGUCUAAUUGGUACUACUAUUAGGGAGCACCUGUAUCCUUAACUUUUAAGCCAAGGUGAUUUUAUCCAACAGUUGUUUGAUUAAAAACUUAUAAUACGCUUAUUAGUUUUGUCAAAAAUAUUACAAUUAAAGAUUUUUUUUCUUUCCUCCCUAGGACCCUAAUACUAAAUGAACCCUAUGUAGUCAACUUAGAUAUCAAGAUAGAGUUCUAAGUGAUUACCAGAUACUGAACUGCCACAUCAUGGCUGCCACACAACAAUUUCAAACAGAGUCUAAAUAACUUCAUUGCAAAAUAGUUAAAUGAAUCUAACUUAGUUUCGUCAUUUGAUUUUCAGCUGUUUAUAACAAGGAAGAUGAUAUUGCAACCUACACUAUCAAAGCGGUUAAUGAUCCGAGAACCUUGAACAAAAACCUUUACAUUCAGCCUCCUGGUAAUAUUUACUCAUUCAAUGAUCUUGUGUCUCUGUGGGAGAGAAAGAUUGGCAAAACCCUCGAAAGGGAGUAUGUUUCAGAGGAGCAGCUCCUAAAGAAUAUUCAAGGUUAGUUAAAACUCUCUCUUUUAAAUGUCAUUUAAGAGAGCCAUAAAUUCUGUGCCGUAAAUGUUAUUGACCCUGUCUUCUCCAAAAUGCUGCAGAAGCUGCACCUCCACAAAAUGUGAUAUUAUCAAUUUAUCACUCUGUUUUCAUGAACGGAGUUCAAACCAACUUCAAGAUUGAACCAUCGUUUGGAGUUGAAGCCUCGCAGCUUUAUCCUGAUGUCAAGUACACUACAGUUGAUGAGUACCUCAAUCAGUUUGUGUAACCCUUCUCUGUUUCCAGCUGCAGCUUGCAGGAUCUUGGACUCUUGGUAAAUAAAUAAUUGGCUUGUUGCAAUCUUUGGUUUUUAAUGGAAAAAAUUAUGGUGGCUGGCCUUACUUUCUUCU